rnacentral:lncRNA from 1 species
UAAUAAUGGACAGAUUUCAACAACACCCAAACUUUUUCUCCCGUUUUUUCUUCUCCCGUUUUCUUUUCUCAGAUGAGCUGCUGUCCAGAUCUGCGAAUAUAAAGAACUUUAGCCGACGAAAAUAUAAUUUAGCCGACGAAGGAAAAUUUCGUCGGCUAAAGUGUACUUUAGCCGACGAAAAAUUGUUUCGUCGGCCUGUUUUUUUUUUUUUCGUCGGCUAAAGUCUUUCUUCUGGUAGUGUUUUCUCUGUUAACUGAUGACAAGGCCGUUAAAAAAUUGCCACAUCAGUGCCUAGUCAGCUCGAAAUUUUUUUAGUAUCCUAUAUUACCCCUGCAACACAGAAAACUCAGCUGUCCUAAAUUCAAAACCACCAAAUGAAGUGCACACACAUCAUCCCCCUAAGCUCAAAACCAGCAAAUACCCCAAAAGCUGAUCUGCAAAAUAACAUCAACCAUAAUCUAAAGCAAAACCUGCAAAACUUGCAAAACCUAAUACCAGAACAUGUACCAAGCAAAACCUGCAAAACUUAAUACCAAAAGUCCAAAACCUAUACCAAAACAUGUACCUGCAACCAUAAUAACAACCAACACUUUCCAAAUCCAUAACAGCAACCAAUAGUAAUAGGUAGAUCUCCAUUAAUUUAGAUUUAGAACUCUAACAUCGUUCAGUCGUAAUAGGCAGAAACAUGUUUGGCAUACUGUAGCUUAACAAAAAUGACCACAAAAGCCACAUUACAUCCCUCAUAAACUAUUGUAGUAUGUACAGAAUUUAGCUCUAAUCAUCCUAACAAAGAUUAGAGCUAGCAACUAAAUUACAUCGCACUUAGUUGCACAAAAAUAGGAUGUCUAAUAUUCUGCCUAUGCUAGAGUUUAGCACUACUAAUCUCCUUUAACUGACCUAUUUCUGAUUCUUUGAGAUGCUCUUGUUGAAGAUGCAAAUGCAUUUUGCCUUGACAUUGAAUUUAGGGCAGCUGAGCUUUGUGUUGGCCUUGAAGUCGGGGCAACUGUGUUUUGGGUUAGCCGUGAAGUUGGGGCAGCUGCGCUUUGGACUGGUCUUCCUCCAACUUGUAAAGGCCUUACUGUGGAUGAGGAUGACUUGGUUGCUGCCAACUUUGUAGCUUUGGCAGCAACAUAUUUUUCCUAAGCCAAUAAAAACACAUGAAUGUAAAGAGCUUAUACAGUUGAAAGAAAAUACGUUAGAAUCAUUUUAAUGGAUGCAAUAUAGCUGAAUUGUUACCCUUUGGUUCUUGGCAUUCUUCCUUGCUUUUGCCCUCAUUUCAUUCAGAGUCAUAGGAGGUCGCUUUGGUUUCUUCGGCUGCAAUAAUGUUGUACACGAUAAGUGACACAAAUAACCAUAAAAAUUAAUAAAACAAGAGUACUCUAAGGUGAUUAGAAAACUCCAAUACCUGAUCAGAAACUUGAUGCCCUUCAUUGCUGGCCUUCCUCUUCUUGUUCUCCUUUGGAGGCAAAUGCCUAUGGCAUGUUAUCUUAUUAUGCCCUACUAUACCACAAAUGCCACAUUUGAGGGAUCCGUAUUUUCAGAUGCAUCCUUAAACUUUUCAGAUUGAUCCUUUUUCCUUUUUGUCGACUUCGGCCUACCAGGCAUUCUUGAAUAUGAAGGAGGUAAGAUUGUUGGCCCCUCACACCUUGACCACAUGUCUGUACUGUUAAUAGGAUAGAUGAAAUUGCUGUAGAUAGCCAUGUAUGUCUUCUUCGAAUAACACUCGGCAACAUAAUCCUCGGGGGAUUCCCUCUUCCAGUAGAUGGCUGAAACUGCAUGCUUGCAAGGGAUUCCAGUCAAAUCCCAUCUCCUGCAGCUACAUGUUCUCAGCCUUAGGUCGACAACAUUCUUGGUUCCUUGAAUGGUUUCAACCUCAAAUCUAUCCCCACCAUUGAAAGUUAAAGUACAAUCUACAGCUCUAAUCUUGUUCUUAUCCAAAGUGUCUCUUGGUUUGGGGCAAAUAUUGUACUCAUACUUGUCCAUUAUCUGCCUUCUCAUUUGAAUCCUUUUCAUAAGCUUCCACCUUAUUUCUUCGAACAUGGUAACGGGAGGCUUCUUUCUAGCAUCCACGAUAACUGCGUUGAAACUCUCACAUAUAUUGUUGUCCAUGAUGUCACAAUUGCUGGUUGUGUUGAAAAAUGGCCGACACCAAUGUCUUGGAGGCCUAUCCUCAUCUGCAAAACAGGUUGAACAAAAACAGUAGUUAAAUCAUAAAGCUAAAACUGCAAAGCACCAAAACAAAAGGACAGUAAGCAUAUAAACUUUAUGAAAAAUUGAAGAACCAAAAUUUUACCGCUUCACUUACGUGUCAUCCAUUUGUAGGCAUCCUCAUUAAGAUCAUUCAUCUCUUCCAUGUCUUUAAGAUAGUAGGGCAUUGUAGUAUCCUUGGCACACUUCCACAUUUGAUCCUUCAAAACUUUUCCAGGAAAUAGUUUUGUGAAAUUGGUCCACAUAUGCCUUACACCAGUGGCGGAUCUAGGAAUCAAAACUUGUCUAGGCUAAUUUCGUAAAGGGCAUUUUUUUUUGUUAGGUUUGGAACACAGGCUCAUCUACCUCUAUUAUUUUGAAUCAAGCUGCACAAUGGAUUAAGGUGCAAAAAUCAAUUUGUAACAAUCAUCUCCUACAUUAUAUAUGGAUUAAGCUGCAAAAAUCAAGCUAUCAGGUCCUUAUCUUUCAUUCAAGAUACACACUAUAGAACACCCAAAACCUAUGCCACAAUCCCUCCAAUCUCAAAUUUCUAUCAUCAAUAAAAAUUGAAAAACCCAAUUGGAGCAUAUAGCAGAGGAAUCCUUAUUCAAGAUUGAAAAACUACAUAGAGUCAAUGAAUGAGUGUUAAGGAUUUGAUAUAUGGGAUCUGAAAUUGAUUGAAGAAUAAGGAAGAGGGACAAAUGAGAAGAGAAGAACUGAGAGGAGAGCGCUUUUGCCGUCUGUUCGAAGAGCCAAAGAGGAGAGCUAGUUGUGCAGCGAACUGGAACUUGCUAACUCUUUCUUUUUGCAGGUAUGGUAAUGGACUGUAAGUAUAUACACCUACUUAAGGGUUUUUGACCCAAAAUUCUCUCUAGGCUUCAGCCUAUGUAGCCUUAUACAUGUAUUCGCCCCUGCUUUACACAAAAUCUGAUUUCCCCGCUUGGCACAACCACUUGACAUGCAGGAAUGAGGCCUUUCUGCUUGUCACUAAUAAAAACCCAUCCUACUCCAUCUUCCUUGAUAUCUAAGUCCUUGCAAAGAAGUUCCAAAAACCAUAUCCAUGAAUCUUUAUUUUCAUUUUCCACCAUAGCAUAUACAAUAACCCAGUUGUUGUUGUUUGCAUCCACACCAACAACAGUCAAAAGCUGGCCUCCAAAUGGACUCUUCAAGAAUGCACCAUCUAAGCCUAUCACAAUUCUACAACCAGAUUUGAUUCCAAGGCUCCCAAACAUAUAUACAUUCUUUGAAAUACCGGAUCCUUAUUACUGUUGCUAAAAUCACACCUUAUAUCCACUGUGGUAUCAGGAUCAACCCUCUUCAACUCACUCCCAUAGUCUUUUAACCGUGCAAACUAAUCUCUGAUGGAACCCUCAACCUCCUCCAAAACCGCCACCUUAACCUUGUAAGCCAUCUGCUUAUUAACUUUUGCCCUCAGCUCACUUGACAUUGUCUUGGCUAAUGAUUAUGCAACAGUCAUAAAAAACAUUGUUAUGGUAUAAAACUCAGUAUGAUUUGCACAUAAACACCCCAUAAGAAAAUCACACAAACUCUCACCUGGGUUCCAGUCCGAAUUAAGGGCAAUUCAAUCCUUGAACUUCCUCACUAGAAGUUUCAUCCUCACCAUGGUAUUGUUAAACGUUCUAGUGCAUGUGUGGUGAGGAAUCCACUCCUUGAUCUUAAGAGUAUCCUCAUGUUGAGUUUUAGAAGCAAACAACAAAAAAGGGCAAUUAUCUUGCUUGCAUAUAGUCUUGAGUCUGACCUUGUCAUUCUUCUCAUACUAAUACUCCCAUCCCCCUAGUAAAGCCAUCAGUCUAAGAGCAUCCCUCAAUAUCAUGACACUACCAAACAUCAUGUUCAACUGGAACCGUGGUCUGACCAUGUCAAUUUUAGGGUUGAAGUACAACCCUUGUUCUUCCCUCUCACCAUCAAAGUUCACAAUGUAGUUGGGCGGUUCUUCAUCAGAAUCUACUCCUCCAAACAUAUCCUCAUUGUCAAUAAAUUCUUUACCCCCUUGCAGCAUAUUUUCUCCAUUUAUUGAUCCAUCAUAACCAUUGAGAAGUGAUCUUUUUCGUUGCUCUUCUUCAUCCACAAUUUCUUCAACAAUAUAAUCAUCCUCAUCAUCUCCAUACUUGUCAUAGUCCUCAUCAUCUGGUAGAGGGUCGUAAUCAGAAUCCUCACUAUUUGAAGGUUCAUCUUCAUAACCCAAUCUUCCUUGCCUCUGACCACCAUAGGACUGUAGAAAAUCCAAAAAAUCAAAAUUAUCAAAGUCUUGCAGAUUCCCAGCCACAUUCUGCAACAGAUUACCCUGCUCCACAACACUUGACCCAAAACCAUUAGAUGACUGCCCAAUAUCAUUUGAACCUUCCCAAGCAAGCUGAACUACCUUUUUACGUGGCUUCAUGACCUUAGGAACCUCAAGCUGUUUUUGCUUUCCUUUUUCCUUAUUAUUUUUCCCGCCAGCAAUGCUACAUUGAGUAGGCACACCCUCUGAAUGUUCUUUUAUCACUACUCCCUUGCUAGGUCUAGCCUCUUCUAUCAAAACAUUGCUUGGUUGCAUGACAAACAAAUCUUCAUAUAUUAAGAAGUCAUCAUCUUCUGGUUCCUUGUGGUCAAGGUAGAGAAAUAUCAAUCUCACAAGAGGUACAGGGGUACACAUCACCAAAACAUCCCAAUCAGACUCCAACUUCAUUAAACACCCUCUUUCAUCACCAACUCUAUACCAAUAAUCUAUCCGUUGGUGAGCAUGAGCUGGAUUAAUCCCCUGUAGCAUACUAUCUAUUUCAACAAAAGACAUCUUAUCUUUGUCCACGUUGUCAAAGUAGCUUGUUUUGCCUCCAACAUAUUUGUUGUCUGAUAUGCACCCUCCAUGCAAUAUCUUAAGUGUGAAAUAGUAUGGAUGAUCUGCAAAGACAAAUGGUACAGAGGUGAACUAAAAAUGGAAGUAAAAUGUUUUUACAAAAAGAAAAAGAAUAAAAAAAAUCCUCUCUCAACUUUACUCACAGCCCAGACUCUUUCCAAAAUAAAUCUAAAAUGCAAUGCAAACACAAACACACUCUAAUAGCAUCAACAGCGGCCACACACAGUCACAUUGACAACACAAACAAGACUGAUAGAUUGACAACACAAACAAGACUAAUAGACAUGGCAUAUACAUUGAUUGGUAUGGUAUGAUUUACGGCCCUAUGAUUUUACAAGAAAGAAUUAAUGGACUGCCUCAAUAAUGCAACUAGUAUUACAUAUGCGUAUAUAUAUGAAUUGACAUCACCUGCAACCUACCUUUGAGAAUUGAGUUUGCAUAUAUAAAACCUAGUACCCUUUCAGCUAGCUUCUGUUUUCAAUCUUCAUUAUAAAUUUGAUAUAAUUUUUUGAUUCUUGACGCAUUAGUUUGGUAACUGUUAUGAUAAUUGUAAUUAAGAGGAGGAUUUAUAUAGCAGAAGCCAGAAGGGAUGACCCAUAGUGUAAUACUAAUACAACAAGUUGACUUGUAAACAAAACAUAUAAAACAAGACUAGUACUAUAAUAUUUUUUAUAGAAGUAGAAUUAUUAUUAUCAUUAGUUUGAUGACCACAAAGCAGGAAAGCAAUAUGGCCUGCGUAGGAAGGAAACAAACCAACUAUAUACAAAUACAGUUGUUUACUCCCAAACCCAGAAACUCAAAACCUUGCCACAAAUAUACUCUCAAAUCCAGAAACUCAAAGCCCUAAAAAGUCAUAAGCCCACCAUAAUCUAUUAUCUAGAUAUCGAAACCAUCAAAAACAGAUUCCACAUAUUCCAAAUUAUCUAGAUAUUGAAACCCAGAAACCUUAAAGUUUGAAACCCAUAAAUUUUUGGAAUCGAAACUCACCAUAAGGUUGAAUUCAUUCGUUCAUGUCCCCUUCUUCUCGACGAACCCAAACCACGAUGUCCUUCACCUCCAUUGUUGAAACACCCAACCCUCAACGGUUUCAAACUUCAUGGGGUUUCUACCGUCUUAACAGAGAAUUGGGUAUGCGCGAUAGAUUCAGAGAAGUGAAUUUAGGGUUUUGAGAGAGAAGAAGCGAUGGGUUUUCAAAAGAGAGUUUUGAGAGAGAGUAUGAAUCUGAUGAGAAGAGGCGAUAUGUUUUCGACAAGAGUGAAUCUGAUGAGAUUAGGGUCGAAAAAGGAGUGAAAUCUGACAAGGGCAUUUGAGUCAGUUCAUGUAAUUCUCGGCUGACUAGGCAUUGACGUGGCAGUUUUUAACGGCAAUAUCAUCAGUCUAACGGAGAAAACUAACGGAAGGAUCAUUUAGAUGAAAAAUCGUGACUUUAAGGACCAUUCAGAUUAAAAUGAAAUUUCAAGGACUAAACAGAUGUAAACUGUAAACCAGAGGGACUAAACAAAUUUUAAUUCUUAAUAUUAUUUUCUUCCCAUUAUCAUAAUAUUUCCGUUGGUUUGUACUCUUUUUUUAUUCAUACUGCCCAGUUACCUUUUUAUUUAAAUGUAGUAUGUUAGAUCAUGAUCUAGUGGCUCAUAUUAAAUGCUCGUUAUUUGACCGUUUUUUUUUUUUCCUAUUUGGGACAUGCGCAUAUGGGUGCUGCAAGUGGGCUAGGGCUGGCAUUGGUAGGUAUACCGACUCUAUUUACCAAUACCAUGUACCAACCAACUUAAGGUUGGUAGACAAAAUCUUGUAUCAAUACCAACCGUCAAAGUUGGUAUACCAACUUAGUUGGUACGGUUGGUACUCGGUUGGUACGGUUGGUAAUGGGCCUCUACCAAGUAUAGAUUGAGGCCCAACAAACUGAAAGACCCAACUCAUUUGAAUCAUUUUUUUGAGCCUCUAUCAAGCUUCUAUCAAUUAUCAAACUAUUCAAACACAUUCAAAGUUUUACACAUCAUAUAAUUUCAAAUGCAACAAGCCAACAAUGUCCAAAGUCUUAUACAGAAAAUUAAACAACACAUGUCCAAAGUCCAAACAACACAGAAAAUUGAACAACACAAGCCAAUGAAAAAACAAAAGUCCAAAUUAGCAGAAACUGGACAAAAUUUGAAGGGCUUUGAUGCUGCGAGGCCGGGAGAGUGCUAGACUGCUAAACACCAGUUUGGACAGAGUAUCUUCAGGUGCAAAUGAAGGUGGCAGAGGUGUUGUUAAUGAUGAAGCCUGUAAACCGGCAGUCAUCUCCUCAUAUGCAACAUAUGGAAAUGAUGGUGUUGAGCUUGAAUUGCCUACACAACCACUCUGCGAAGACAUGGAAGAGUCCAUAGCCUAUGUGAAACACAUCUAAUAGAUUAUACUCAUCACAAAUUAUACUCAUCAGUCAUCACAAAUUAUACUAACACAGAACAAAUUAUACUCAUCAGCUCAAAUUAUAGAACACACUAACACAGAACACAGAAGUGAAGAACAAAAACCAAAUUGAUAGAUAACACAAACUAUAGAUAGCACAAACAGUCAAACACAGAAGUAAUCGUACACAACACAGAACACACAAACACAGAAGUAAUCGUACACAAUCAUACACAAGUAACACAAACACAGAACACACAAACAUAGAUUGAUAGAUAGUUAGAUACAUACGGAGAUUCGAGGCUUCUCGAACGGAGUCGUCGGAGAGUCGAGGCGCUGCCCUUGGUGUUGCCGAGUCGACGGCGAGAGAGGCGAGGUGCUACCCAGUUCUCGAGGCGAGGUGCUGCCCAGUUCUCGAAGCGAGGUGGCAGAGAUGCUGCGAAGUCGAGGUGGCGGAGGUGCGAGGUGAGGUGGCGGAAGUGCAAGGUGCUGCCGAGUCGAGGUGGCGGAGGUGCGAGGUGCUGCCGAGUCGAUCGAGGUGGCGGAGCCGCGGAGGUGCGAGGUGAGGUGAGAAUCGAGAGACUUUGACUCUUUGAGCGAGAGAGAGUAGAGACUGAGAGAGGCGAGAGAAGGAUAGAGAUUGAGGGACUGAGGGACUUAGGGUUAGAUCAAGUGAUCAACGGCUUGGAUAAUGGUUUUAAUUAUUUUUUAUUAUUUUUAAUAUAACUCGGUUGGUACACGGUAUACUGUAUUUUAGGAAAACUUGUACCAUGUACCAACCGACUUCUCAAACUUGGUACGGUACUACUGUACCGAAAACUCGGUUACCAACUACUUGGCAUACCAAUUUACUUGGUACGGUUGAUACAUGGUUGGUUGGUUUCGCCAGGGUCCAAAUUGCCAGCGUGGGCAUCACCUUUUAGCUAAUUUUAUGUGGGGUUGUGUUGUCUUCUACCCCAGACUAAUUCAGGGACCAAAAAUUACCCCGGGUAUUAACUUGGUUAGGUGGGUCUCAUGUAGACCCCAUGGUUACCCCAGACUGACUCUUGCCGGGUUUUUUGGCCAACAUCUGCUCUUACCCACUCUCUCACUCCAUUGCAGCAUCUAAUCUAAAGGAAAAGAAAAAUGAAAAGGAAAAAUAGGUUUUUCAUUCAUGGGGGCUGUUUCUUACAUGUUACUAUUUAUACCCAUAAUGGGCCAUCCGGAUCUUGCCACUUGGCAGUAGAGGCAGACUUAUGACGGGGCAACUGGGGGCCAUUGAUCCCACUUAGGUUCUGACAUUUGCGCUUAGUUUUUUUUUUUUGUUUUCCUUUUAAUGCUUAGCCCCUGAUUUCUAAUAUAAAUUGUAUUUACUUAUGUAAAUUUAAAGUUAAUCCUAAUCUCAUGUGUUUUGUAUUCUUUAGUUUUGUUGAGAAACCCUAGUUUUGUUGAGAAACCCAAAGCAACCAAACUUUUAGUCUACCCAAGUUCUAGACUUCCAGCUUAGGUUCAACUCUUUGCUUUCGUCCCUCUUCAAGUCUAACUUCAACAUACUCUUGCAGUCGUUGAUCUCUAUACUUUUUCAAUUCAAGUAUUCAACCCUUGUUUAAAGCAUAUGCUAUUCUUUUGUUUUAGUUACAAGGUUUUACAUAGUUGGAAAAUUGGAAAUAUGUCUUUUGAUUUUGUGUGUUAUUCUUGAUUUUGUACAAUAUAAAGGAAUGAGUAUAUCUAUAUAACUCGAUGACUUUGGUGCCCAAAAAGCAAAAUAUGCCCCUAUGAAAAUUUAUUCUUGCGUCCGCCACACUACCGGGUAGCCAUCCAACUAAACAUGAAUAAACCCUAAGACAUAUUACAUAAUAUAACAUAUAUAGUUGAUCAAAUGGUACAUGUGCCACACGUGUGGGAAAACCACUUCUUUAAAUGUCACUCAAGCUUUCCUAAAGUCAUUGGGAAAUUCAUAGCAUAUUCGUAUUAAUCAAGACUCACAUAUUUAACAAAGAAACCUACUAAUGUUGAGUUUUACAACUCAUCUACGAUCAUUCUAAGAGAACAAAUAUACCUCAAUGAUAUUGUUUAAAUAUAAUAUUGUAGUUAUACGUAUGAGGAUGUUGUAGGUAAUGCGAGGAUCAAAUAAUUGUGCAAAUGUCAAAUAGUUGUGCAGGCCAAGAUAAUAUCUGCAAGACAAAACACGCACGCUAGAGAGAUACCCGGGCAUCAACCCUUCGACGCUCAAGUCAAAAAGGGAUUCAUCUUUGAGUAAUAAGGAAUAGAAUGAGUUAGAUUCAUUUAGAGGUGGAGAACGGUCGUAUAUUUAUAGGCAGUUGGAGGGUUUGGUGAGGUCCAACUGGUGACAUCUGUUGCACAUAUGCGGGUCACAAACAUAUCCUCGCGUCCACGAACGGCAUCAUAUGAAGGAAACGGAUCCGUACUCUUGGUUUACGGAAGUCUCACCAGUCGGGUGGUACCCAUUGACAGAUACAAUGUCACAUUAAUGUGGUGGAAGUCGUACCAAACCAAUACCCCAGUAAAUCAACACUACUUGGAGGUGACAACGAGACCUAGAGGAUGGUGUUGAUGUCAUCAAUCAGAACUCGCAGCCAUAACGAGGAGGAGAAACGAGUUGAGAGAGAGAGAGAGCUCCAAGGUUCUUGCGCGUCUCCCUUCAUUUUUUCUAUUUUCUUAUGUACUGCUCCCCGUCGAACUCACUCAUUAGGUCUAUAUAUAUUUUUGAUACGAACAGCUCUAAUCAAACGAUGAUAAUUUCUACUGUCCAAAUUACACCACAAUAUUUUCUUUUUAUUUAAAUGUAUUCUCAUAAUUUUCAAACUUUAGAAAUUCAUAUAAAAUAGUUUGAGACUCCGAAAAACUCCUCGAUAAUUCUCACGAACUUGUCCUGACGUAUACAUUAAUAUCAGACACUUAUAUCAAGGUUGUCACCUUAAUGUGGUGGAAGUCAACAAACUCCAAUAACGUCGAGAGAGCUUACUAUUUUGAUGUUUGUAAAAAUCAAACUUCGCUAGCAAAAAUUGUUGUCAUACUAAAUUACUAACACACCAACCACUAGCUAGAGCUAACCACAACCAAUCAGGAUAGACAUGUGUCCAUUUAAACAUAUUUUGUCGGCAAAUUAAGAGACAUAACAUGGGGGUAUUCAUCAAUAAUAUUAUAUAAUAUAUUUAUAAAAUAAUUUAAAUGGACAUGUGUCUGUCCUUGAUUGGUUAUAAUUAACUCGGUUGGGCAAAGAUGGAACCGGGUCACUAUCCUAGAGGGGCUAGACAUGACCGCAACUUAAGAUUCAAGUAAUGUUACGCACAUCGAUCUACGAAAACUUUUGCUUGCUUGGAGGAAUCCAUUUUCACGAACAAACACAACCUGCUAGCAGAGCCAACCCCAACCAUUAUAGUGAUGAGACGAAGCAUCAUUGCACAAUAUCUAACUGCUCCGGUCCUUAUUGUUUGCAAUAAAGUGCCUUAAGUAGCCACUGAAGAGUCCUUUAAUUCUCUUCGUCUGAGCUUCCAAAUAGAUACCUAUGGUAGGUAUCUUACCAUACGAUACCGACAAUCGUCUUCUAACAUUACCGACCUUUAAAUAUAGUGGUUUUCUUGGGUGACUGAUCCUGUCAUAAUCUACUUCUACUUAUGGCCCCGACAACUGAAGCCGAACAUAUAUACGACCAUCCUCAUUCAUGAAUAACCGGGAGGAAAGAAAGUGUGGUAAAUUAUAAUGAAAAAGUUUCUUUGAACAUGAUAAGAUUUAUAGCGUAAGAAGGAGUUGAUCGUAUCAUUUUAACUCGGUUCCGACUUCUCUACUUUUUAGUCAAAUUUUUUCCAACCACUAGGGCUACGGAGUUGCUCACUUCCACCACUACGCAUACGUAUAUUACUCCAAAAAAUUAUUAAAUGUACAAAUCUUCAAGUCAGGUAAAUAUUUAUUUUCACGAGAAUUUUUCCUAUUUUUGAGAGUAAAAAUGUAACGGCUAGAUAUGUGCUAAAUGUAAAUGGUAUGCAGAAAAAAGAUGCCGCCAUGGCCAUAACUCCAAACUGAGAGAAUAUACAAGGUUUUAUACCAAGUUGCACACAAAACGGAAGCUUUGUUAGUCGUGUGUAUGCGUUUGUGGUUGCUUGUGUGCGUGCGUCGGUGCGUGAGAGAGAUGAGUACUGAGUGCAUAUCAGAACCCACAGUAAAGUGUCCAUUGUUACUCUCGUUUUAAAUGCACGAAGCAGAGAGAAAAUAUGAAUUAUAAAUUAAAAAAGUUACAGACUUUGUCCAUAUCUAUUUGCGGUUUAUAUUCUCAAAACUCAUCACUCAUCAUCAGUGAAGCUCUCGGAGAAGAAAACUAGGUGGGUCUCUUCUAUCUUGUAUGGGUCUGUAUUUUCGUUUCACUGAUCGAUUCUCUGUAUUGGGUUUUGGGUCUUGAACUGUUUCUUUUGUUUGAAAUAUAUCUGCUAGUUACUGUAAGUUUCGUGCUUUUGAUUUCCAUUAGGAGUUUAUGACUGUUAGUUGAGCGAAGGUUCAUACUUUGAUCAUAUUUUCUAGUACCCUUUGAUGCAUUUGAAGGAUCGAUCAAUCAUUUACUGUAUUUGAACCUGCAUUUGCCCUUGGCUCUGAUACCCUUGAUUGCUUUGUGGGUUCCCUUCCCAGUUGAAUUGGAUCUUUUUUUGACAAUCAGUUGAAAUGAAUUUGGGGGUUUAUUUGGGAAAGUGAAGCUUAUCUGUUAGGAUGUUCUUGGUUAUCAUAUACAUCUGAUUUUAGUGUUAGUGGACAUUUUAAAAACAUUACAGAAGUGGGAUUUAUGGAUUUUACUUGUUGCUGCACUUGUUUUGGAUUUUGGGCUCCUUGAGUACUAUGAACUGUAUCCUCUAGCUUGCACUGGGACUUUUGAUUAGUUACCAUAUCAGAAAGUUUUAAUCUUGAUCUGAUAUUUCUUUUGUUACAGAUCAGUAAAGUUUCGGGUUUUGGGUAUUUGAUUUUCUUCCCCACCUAUAAUAAUGGUUCCAUGAUCAUGGUUUACCCUGCUUUCCUAUAUGAUUAAGUCCAGUUGGUUUGAGACUUUGAGUUGCUUUUGUGAAGGUAUCUGGUCAUUGCUUCCUUGCCUUUGAUGAUUGGUGCAUACUAAUUUCUUUUUAAAUCCCUUUUUUUAUGUUCACUCAAGCUUUCCUAUUUGUAUAGCAAAGAAAAUGGUUGAUGUUACUACAUUGCCUCUUCACUCAAUUCUGCAUUGGUUAUUACUACAAUUGAUUCAGUCUACUUUUAUUGUUUUUGUCAGGUUUUAAAUCAAAGCGGUAAGGAAUUGCUGGUUCGUCGUUAGAGACUGGGGUCUUUAUCAUAGAGGAAGAUAAGUAUUUCACAUGCAGAUUGUUUGUGUAUGAUGAUCUAAUGGUUGAUUCUAGUAGUUUAAAGCUGAAACACACUAGUAGCAUACUUUUCAGUAUUCCUGAUUUCUUCGUAGGGUUUGGUAAUAAAGGUUCUUUAGAUUCAGACUCAGUUAGGAGCCCUACAUCUCCUCUGGACCUCAGGCCUUUUUCAAAUCUUAGCAACCCAUUUAGACUUCGGUCUGCUAGAUCAUUAUCUCAAAAUGGAAAUCAUAAGAUAUGGGAUUGUAGGAAAGCAGGCCUUGGCAUCGUCAAUUCCCUUGUUGAUGAAACCAAAGCUACUAGUGAAGUUCUUGGUUCAUCGAAGAGGAAGACCAUAAUUUUUCGACCACAGUUGGAAAAAAUCAACCCUCAUUCCUCAAAGCUUCGUUCUGGUUCAAAGGAUUAUUUCAUGAAAUCCCGAUCUUUACCUAGAAACUAUAUAAUUAGGCCACUUUCUGAAACCAUAUCUCUCAGGCUCCAACUCAAACCAGAUAAGGUGGAUGUUUCCUCUGGGAGUGUGGGACUUCUUUUAGAAUCUGAACCAUCUGAAAACAUUGCACCAUUUUUGUUGGACUCCAGCAGGGCUUCCUCACAAAUUGUCUCUAUGCAAGGAGAAAAUUCGUUGGGUUUUAGACCUAGUUCACUUCCAGCACCAAUUGUCUCUAACCCUCAAUCUGCAUCCUCUAUCCCUGCUAGAGAGAUGGAACUCUCUGAGGACUAUACCUGUAUAAUUUCUCAUGGUCCAAACCCGAAGACCACUCAUAUAUUUUGUGACUGCAUAUUGGAAUGUCACACAAAAGAUUUAAACAAUGUUGACAAAGAAACAGUCGAGAUAAAAGCACCUCAACUAGGUAAGCAUCAGGAGGGAUUGACACAUGACCCUUCAGAUGAACUUUUGGGAUCCUGUUACACCUGCCAGAAGAACUUGGAAGGAGAGGAAAUUUACAUGUGCAGGUUUGUUUUAAACCUCUAGGUGCAAUUUUUACUUAAGUUCCACAUUUUUGAGGCUGAGCUUUUCUCUGAAUGUUGCAGAAGUGAGAAAGCAUUUUGUAGUUUUGAUUGUCACUCAGAUAAGAUUUUUGCUGAAGAGGAAGCAGAAGGUACUUGGGAUAAGUCUGCAGGAAGCUCUCCUAAAAGCUACCAGGAAGAUCUCUUCUUAUUGGGUAUGCAUAGUCAUGAGACUCCGGACAUAGAGUAGUAGUAGCCUCAUAGGUCUUGUUCUCUAUAAUCAUAAUUGGAUGAUUUCAAGUGGCUAAAAGCCCUGGUCAUCAGUUUUCUUCUCCCUUUUGUUUCCUAGUGUUUUUGUGUGCAAGUGUUCAUGCAAAAAGUAUUUUGGACCACUGAACUCAUUGUUGAUUGCAUGAGGUACUGAAAUAAUAGCUGCACUUUUUGGGUUACUAUUUCAUAAGCUUCGAUGAUUUCUGUUUUGAAGUAUGAUGGUUUGGUUCACUUAAUGGUCAGAAAUUAUGAUAAACUCUGCUUGUGUCACUUGUUUAGUUCUUUAACUAUUAUGUAUUAGAUUGAUUAAGGUUAUAGAAACUAUUGCAGGAUUGCCCAUUUUGUGUAAUGCGUCAAAGAUGCGUGUUAACUUUGUGAUUAGAUAUGCCUAUAGUCCUAGUCCUCUGUAGUUUGCAAGAUCUGUGCUCCAUAUGGCGAGAACUUGCUAUACAUUUUGGAUUUUCUUUUAGUGUAAACCCAUUUGAACUUGCUUACUGAGAGAUCAUUGCUGCUACAUUUCCAAUGGUUAGUUUUGUAAAGGUCGUCUUCUCUUCCAGAUUCAUUUUGUUUUGGCCUACCCUCUUCUUUUUUUAAAGCUUCCUUUACCUUCAGUAUGUCCUUUCAGGUAAUGAGGUUCUUGUUGACCCUCAUUCUUAAAUUUUGAAAUGAACAUAUUUGUUCCGGGAGCCUUUCUAGUGAGGACUCUUAAAUUGAGGACUAGUUGAGGACUUUCCGGUUUAUGGUUUAAAAGACUUAUUUUUCGAUCACAUCUUGGCAUCUCAUCCGUUCAGUUUUUAGGUCUAUAUGUGUAUAUCAAUCCUACAAAUUUUCAGCCAAAUAAGUGAUCGUUAAGGUAACAAACUAGAUCAAAUUAAUGGACGAACCAAAUCUGUCAAAUAUGAACCGUUCAAGUUCAUAAUUGGUAAAUCACACUUAUGAAUGUCUUAACGAUUUUCAAUAUGGUUGAAAAUUUACAGAAAUGAUCUACUUAUAAAUAUCUAUAAACUGAACGAUCAAAAUGUGAAUAUAGAAUUAAAAAGUGAGAUAAGCCAAAAAAAUCUUUAACUAAUCAUCAACUUAAAAGUUUUCGUAUAUUCCCACCACCUGCAAAUAAUUAGUGUCAAGUUGGGGACUCUACAUAGUGACCCAGGUCUGCGUAUCCCUACAAAAGUAUAUCUCAGAAGUUGGUACGAUGUGUAGCAUCUCUCUCUUCACAUGGGGGCAUUAAGCAAAGGAGCAUCCACAUAUUUUUGAAUGACAUAACUUUGGAAGUUCCCCCACACUCAAAGCAAGCCUAGCAUAACUGCAUAAACUCACCAUGUUUGUCUCAUCUGGUUUACCAAAUCAUUUCCACAAUUCCACUGUUGUUCUAAACCUCCGUUAGAGUUUCAACUGUUUUCAAACUUGUGGUAUCUAGUCUGAGACUUGAGCUGGAAAAACAAGUAAAGUAAUGGCAACAAUUCACCAUUUCACUGUGCAUAUGAGUUAGCAGUGAACAGUAAAACAGAUUAAUGGACCGCAAUGUGAGUCAACUAUAUAGUAGUGCACACCAUUUGGCUCUACAGAGUCUCACAUUGCUGAUUCUCAAUGUCUACUAGAUUUGGUUGAGGCUACGAGAUGGUACUAGUUCCUCCUUCGCUUAUGAUUUCUCCCAUCGUAUUGUUUCCGAGGCCUCGUCCAUUGCAAUUCUUUGUUUUCACAACGAAGAGCAACAGAAGUAUUCUAUUUCAUUGUGGUUCUUAUUUUGUUUAACUUUUAUAUUUUCUUUUUUCGGUAUAACAUUUAAAGUUUUACGAAGCUUUAUGACUCAAUACCGUAAGAUUGUAAAUUAUCUAAGCUAUAUGUCAUACAACGAGCAAAUCUACGGUCAUGUAGAGUUUACUCAAAUUUAGUACCACAAAGUUAUUAGGGUAUUCAUAGAAUCACAGAGGGGUAAAAAGAAAUAUCUUACAUUUUCAAAAAAGAAAGAAAAUGAAAAUAAGGAAAAAUCUGGGUGGUAUAAAUAUGUAGCUUUCGCAGAAACUGAAAAUUGAAAAGAGCAAAAAGAUCAAAACUUUGAGCGCUAAAGUCUAUCCUCAUAUCCAACCAAAGAUGGGUUUUGCAAUGCGGACCUCCUGCUUCUUACACUCUCCCCUAUUCCCCUUCUCUUCUUCUUCUCACUCCAAAACCAGAAAUGCAGAGACCAACUCAAGAACAAGAAGAACAAGAAGCAGCAGAACGACAACCGUGGCAAUGUCGUCUAUGCGCCAAGACGACAUCAACGACGGCGAUCACGGCAAGCGGAGGGCUAUUCUCUUUGUGGGUAUCACUGUUCUUCCUCUGUUACAACUCAGGGCUCACGCCUUUGAACCCUUUCCCACUAGUAAGUUUAUUUUCAAAGUUGUUGCUUUGAGUUUGUGAAUUUUAGGAAAUGGGUUGUGAAUAUUUUGCUCAUUUCUUGUUGGGUUUUGAUGUGAGGUAAUGGGUUUGUUGCAAAUGGGUCAUAGCAUUUGAAGUUUGAAACUUUUAUUACAAGUUGGUCAAGGAUUGUUUGUGAAAUCUUGAUGAUUUUUUAUUGAAAGAUGUAUAGGUAUGUUUCAAAUGACCUUGUAGUUCUGUCAGUACCGUAUGAUUCAUAUGACAAUGCAGUUUGAAGUUGAAGUUGAAGUUGUGGGCUGCUAGUUAAGGUGUUGGAAUUGAAGUUGAAAUUCGAGUUGAUUAAGCAAUAUUACAGGAUUCCUAGUAUAAUUCCUUUUUAAAGGCUUCACAUUAAGAUGGGAGUUAGAUUCCAUUCGUAAUAUAUAGGUCAUUAUAUGCUGCAUAUACAUUUAAGAUAGUGAAUCACUUGAGAUUAGGAAUAUUAUGAAAAUGUAGUUUUUUCUUUUGUACUUCUCCAAAUCUCUAUGUGGAUUGUUAAUAAAACAAAGAUUCAAAAAAUAAAGAACAAAUUUUACCCAGCUUUUGAUGCUGUUUUAACUUUUGCAGACAUAAUAUAGCCAUCUCUGCUAAUUCAAAUGGUAAUAUUAAGUUUGGUGUCAACAACAUUUAGACUUUUGGUUCCCAAAUGCUGAAAAUGUCGGAAUGUCAUGGUAAUUGAGUGUGUGUUUUUUUUUUCCUUCUAGAUUUAAUAGCACCACUUGCAUAAGUUGACAGAUUAGCUUAGGCGCAGGUACUGGAAUAAGUCAUGCCUGAGAAAGGUAUUAUAGGUGAGAAAACCAUAUCUGAUGCCCCAGAUACCGGUUCAAUUCUUCUCUUGAUUCAAGACUAAGUAGGAAAGCAACGGGACUAAAGACAUCUUUCACUCCAAGUAGCUAAAGAAUGUAUCAUACUGUGGGCUGUAAUUGGCCUAUUUACACCCUUUUUUUCAUCCUUUAUUAUAUGAGGAGUCAUAGGAGAUGCAGUUCUAGUAAAACCUACUCGUGCUACCUUUGCAGUGCAGAUUUUAGGUGCAUAACUUUGUUCAAAUCGUCUUGGUUUAAAUUGAUAAUAUUACAUAAGAUCAUUUAGGGCUUUUUCUUUUAAAAAAGAAAAAAAAAGCGUCUUAUAUCAAGGUUCUUACUUCUGCUACACAUAUAGGUCUUUCUUAGCAUGGAUCACUGUUCCAUGAAACACUUGCUCCUUGUAUCCAUUCCCGCAUCGAUUCAUGGUUUGUUCAUGCAAUGAUCUUUUUUCUUUAUCUUUUUGCUUUUUCAGAAGAAAGUGAGCCAAAGACUCCAGACAGUAACAUAAAGGCAGAGGUCUGAACACUAAAUUGCUAUUCAAUCCCAGUUAAUAGCUUACAGUAUUUUAAUGGUGGCAUAAUUGCCAAUUUGCUACCCUUGAAUUCACCUUAGUGUCAAUUUGCUACCCUAGCUUUUAUUUCUGCCAAUUUGCUACCCCAGCUUUCUAAAUUGGAUUAAAUUCAGUUUACCUCCCCCCCCCCCCCCCCGAGGUUUGGGGUUAGCAUCAUUUCAGCCAUCAUACUCUUAAUUUUGAAAAUUUAUUUCAAUUUUCAUAAAUCAUCCCCAAUUGCUGAAAUUUUGUCUAAUUUGGACGUUAAUUUUGACUUCAUAACUCACUUUAAGGGCUAAAAUAGUCAUAUAACAGCAUAAAUCACAUUUUAGAACCUUUUUUCUAAGAUUUCAUGCUAGCAUUUAACAUCCAAAUUGGAUAAAAUUUUAGCAAUUGGGCUUGAUUUAUGAAAAUUGGAAACUUUAGGGGUAAAUUUUCAAAAUUAAGAGUAUGAGGACUGAAAUGAUGUUAACCCCAAACCUUAGGGAGGUAAACUGAAAUUAAUCCUUCUAAAUUUGCUACCCUAUGUUUUAUUUUAGCCAUUUUGCUACCCUUGUGUCAAAUUUAUGACUCUAGACUUUCAAUAUUAACCAAUUUGCUUACCUACAUAUUCAAAUUUAGCCAUUUGCUAUCCGACAUUUUCAAAAGACAUCAAUGUUUGGAUGGAGAAAUGGAUCAAUUUAUGUGACAAAAGGUAGCAAAUUGGCUAAUUUUAGAAACCUAGGGUAGCAAAUUGGCAGAAAUAAAAGCUAAGGUAGCAAAUCGGCUAAUUUUGUGAAGCUAGGGUAGCAAAUUGAAACUUAAGUGAAUCCUAGGGAAGCAAAUUGGCAAUUAAGCCUUUAAUGGUUGUAAUGAGGCUUAAUAUUCUAAAGAGAGCAAAUCAUUGAACAGCAGGUACUGCAAGGAGAUGCCCCAAAUCCCAUUUUGUCUAUCCUGAAUGGUCUUGGUAUUUUCAGCUCUGGUGUCAUCGGUGCUUUUUAUGGAUUGGCUGAGAAAGAAAAGAAAGCCGCUGAAGUAAUAGUAGAAUCUGUAAGUCUGCACUUCCACAGUCAAGCUUUACUUUACCUGCCGUGAUAACCCAUAAAAAAUAUGAGUCUAGACCCUUUAAAAAGGAACUUCAUGAAAUUUAUGACUAUUAAUCUACAAUGUUUGUCCUUGAAUUUUUUGCUCUUUUAUUGUAUGUUCAAAUGGUUAAGUAGAAAUUAAUUUCUGAGUCUGAGCCUGAUAAACCAUAGUCCUUUGGUUUUGUUCUCAUUGCAAGGAUGUACUUUUGGAUGAUUUGCUUGAUGUAAUCCACAUCUCCUGUGAUUGAUUUGCACAGAUGAAGAACCAGCUGAAAGAAAAGGAAGUUGCUAUUGCUUCCUUGGAGAAGAACUUUGAGUCAAAGCUACUGAAUGAACAGGAAGAACGGAGAAAGCAACUUGGAAAAGCAAAGGAAGAGCAGAGGUCUCUAACAGACCAACUAAAUUCAGCCAAAAGUACUAUUGUGGGCUUAGGGAAGGAGCUAAACGGCGAGAAGAAGUUGAUUGAGGAGCUUAAAGUUCAAAGUGAAAACCUUAAAACAAACCUUUCAAAGGCUACCGAAGAUAAGGUAGAGCUUGAAGAAAGUUUGAAGGAAAAGCUUCACUCCAUCGAAGAUUUGCAGGGAAGGAUUAAUUUGCUCAAUUUGGAACUGAAGGACAGAGAGAGUAAUGUUCAAAGCCUUAGCUCUUCUCUUGCUGAAAAGGAUUUGGAGUUGAAGAACUUAAAGACUGCCUACAACCAAACUAAGGAUGAACUAGCUCAUGCAGUUUCUGAUAUUCAAGAAUUAAAAGUCGAACUCCUAAAGAAUCAAAAGGAACUGGAACUGAAGAGUUACACUGUGGAUGAACUGAAUUCAACAGUAAGUUCUUUGACUUCUGAGAAAGAUGAUUCUAAGAGGAAGUAUGAUGCUAUUCAGGAGGAAUACGAUAAUCUGAAAUCAUCCUCUGGAAAAAAGGCAGCUGCGGAUGCUAAUCUUUUGGGGGAAAAAGAUGAGGAACUUCAGCAGCUAAAGGAGAAACUUGAAUUUUCAUUGGCUGAAUCAAGUAGAAGCAAACAGAUAAUUGCUGAUUUGACCCGAGAGAAGGAAACCUUGAGGGAAAUGCUGGAUAAAGCAUUGAACAGUGAAGAGAACUUGAAACAUGAACUCCAUAUCACUCAGGAAGCUCUUGGAAAAUCUAGAAAUGAAGUUUCAAAUCUGGAACAUCAAUUAAAACAGUCUAGAAAUUUGUGUACCAAACUUGAAGCUGAGAUCUCUCGGGUCCAGGCUGAGUUUACUGGAGUUAGGGAAUCACUGCAGAGGAGCCUUGAUGAGGCUACAUCAAGUGGUGAUGUGAUUGCUACUGAGCUUGCUUCAGUAAAAGAACUUUUAAAGAAGACAGAAGAGGAGCUGCAGGGUGUGUCUCAUCAACUAGCAGUUGUUGCAGAGAAUCGUGAUAGCCUGCAGAAAGAAUUGGUUGAUGUAUAUAAAACAGCUGACAAAGCUUCUCAUGAUUUAAAAGAAGAGAAGGAGCGAGUUUCUUCUCUUAAGAAAGAACUUCAGUCUCUGGAGAAGCAAAUUUCAGAGAACAAUAAGUCCCGUAAGUGUCUUGAGACAGACCUGGAAGAGGCUACAAAAUCACUUGAUGAGAUGAACCGAAAUGCUUUAGUACUUUCCAAAGAGUUAGAGAAGGCUAAUUCUCUAAUUUCUAACCUUGAAGAUGAGAAAGAGGUGUUUUACAAGUCCCUUACAGAGCAAAAGAAUGCAUCCAAAGAGGCCCGUGAAAACAUGGAAGACGCCCAUAAUCUUGUCAUGAAACUUGGCAAGGAAAGGGUGAGUCUGGAGAAGAGAGCAAAGAAAAUGGAAGAGGAAUUGGCAUCUGCCAAGGGUGAAAUAUUGCGGCUGAGGAGUAAAAUAAAAUCUUCAAAAGAUCUUGUAAAUAAUGAGAAACCACAGAAAGCCAAGGCUGAAGGUGCUGUCACUGUUACUGCAAAGAGAGGUAGGAGGAGAAAGGCUCCUGCUGAAUCAGAGUGAACUACUGUCAGAGUCGUAAUUAGUUCUCCUGGUUACUUUGGGUAUUCCUUAAUCAUACUUUGAAGCCAUUUGUUCUCUGGCUUUCUCCUUCUCUAACUCGAAAUUCUUUCCCAGUACCAUUGAAUCAUAGGAACAAUGAUUUAUAUGCAACAAAUGUUGCAUAUGAAAUUGUGACUCUUGUACUUGUGCAGUGUAUAGUAGGAUCGUAUCAGUCCUAGAACAUAGUGGAUUGGUAGUACAAUCUACAUUUUCCUACGGAAGUGUUUUUGUAUUUGCAUUUAUUAAGUCCAGUGGCAAAUAAUUUUCUUUCACUUAACACAAACAGUGUGCUGCUGCAUUCUGCUGUCAUUUGACACAAAUUUGCAGUUACUUCUCAGAGAGAUAAUUACUUGGGUUAAUGCUGGAGCUGGUAUUGGCACAGAGAUAGGAAGUUAAACCCAGGGGGCAGAAGGAUUGAGGGUUUCUUUGGCCAUCAAAAGGACCACUUGGUAAGAUGCAUAUUUUCAAGCACUAAAUAUGAUAGAAUUAUGGCGGCUGGAUCAUACAGGCAAUGAAGUAACAACCAUAGCAAGUUACAAAUGAGAAAGCCCUUUCUGUAAUCCAAGACAUACAAACCAGCACAUCAGAGCUUACCUUUCCCCCUCCAUUGCCAUUUCUCUUCUAACAAACAACUAGGCUGCAUUAACAUAUUCAACGCUACUGAAAUGUGAGUUUCCUAAUAAUAAUAAUAAAUAAAUAAAAAAUGUGAGUUUCCUCUAGCCUCUUUGAACUGUUUAUAUCCAAUCUAUAGGUGAUUGUGGUUAAUAUGGUAUAUAUAUUAUGUUUAGAGAAUCAUCUAUCCUGCAGAAACAUGAAUAUGUUCCAAUGAAGAUAAUCAUAAAAUGAUUAACAUUAAACGUAAUUUUGAAGUUGUGGAUAUUAUUUUCGUUUUCCUCUUCAUAUCUUUUUGGGUAGUUACAACGACACUCGAACAAAGUGCAUGCUUCUACAACAUGCUCAAAAGCUUCUGGGAUAUGAAACAGGAAAAAACAAAAAAAAACAAAUGUAAUUUGCAACCGACCACAGUGGGAGUCGAACCCACGACCUUUUGAUCCGAAGUCAAACGCGCUAAUCCACUGCGCUAUGCGGUCGUUGUGGUACACACUAUUGCAUUACUGGUACAAAACGAAAUGGUUUUUCAAAAUUUUGGCAUUUCAUUACUCGUCUUACAAAAAAGUAAAGCACAAGGCAGCUUGCCUGGAUACAAACAACUAAACAAAGGGGAGCACCUUGUAAUUGUAUAUACACAGCAAACCAGUUAUCAAAAUCUCCAACAUGGAUAUAAUGACCCCAGUGAUACAUAAAAAGCAAAAAGUCUAAAAGAUUAAAGGUACAAGGUACAAAAUCAAUGUCUUAGGCUCUGCUUGAGCGUAUCUAAUUAAACUCAACUUCCUUUUUUUCCUGCUUCUUCUAAUAGCCUAAGCCUGGGUGCCACUCAAGGCUUUCAUCUGAAUGUGGGUGUUGUCACUGGGCAAGGCCUCGUAAGAACCCAAUGCUCGAAUACCAACCGACUUGGCAGUCAUUGCAUAGGUGACCAUCACAAUAAGCAACACAAACAUUACGUGCACCAAGAACACCAGAUCCAGAAUGGCCACAGCCCUUAACUUGGACUCGUCUAAGUCACACUUGGUUGAACCCUCGACUCCAUUUACCACAUCAAGAAGCUUGUGGCAGCCCUCCGGAAUGAAGGCAUCCACAUAGAGGGAGAGGCCCGUCUGUAGGACCCAUAGGCCCUGUAGAGACAGGGAAGCGCCCAAGCCUACGUCUGCCACGAAUAGUUUUGGCUGGCAAGCCAAGACGAGGCAGAGGAUGGAGGCUAGAGCGGAUAUCCGUCCCGAGACAGAGUCACAUUUGGCCUGAAGGUCGGAUGUCUGGACAGUGGCAGCACCCCAAAAGACAAAUGACUGCAAGUAGAAGAGGCCUGCAGCGAGGCCGAAGAUGAGGUCGUUGGGGAGGGGCAGCAAAGCUGGGAUCCACUCGGAGAGGAGGAGUGCCAGUGUGAGGAGUAGAAAGAGGAAGAGGGAGGCAGCGGACUGGAGGGAGGUAAAGUAGUGGACCGGUGAGCGACCCUUGAGGAGCGGAUCAGCGUCUAAGGAAAUGACUAUCUGGUGGACUAUAGCGACAACGAGGAAUGCAAUGACAAGGUAGAGCUGGAGGAACCUGAGACGGUGGUUGUUGGACGGCGAUGAGGAUGAGGACAGAGGGAAAGGGUGAUAAGGUCUGGCAAAAUAGGCCUGCGGUGAUCUCAGGUGGUUGCGUGUGGUGGCAACCAUGUGGUAGAGUCCCAGUGAGACCAGUGCUGCAGAGGAUAUCAUCUGGUACACUAGGGCUGCCAUAUCUCAAGUUCACUCUCACUUUCUCAGAGUUUCUUAAUCCAUGCAGUAUUGUAUUACACUAUAGUUACAGAGGCGUGCACUACUCUCUGUUUGAGCAAACUAUCCUUCUUGAUUCUUCAGUCCUUGUUAGCUUGUUUGAUUUCAGUGGUGAAGGAUUUGUGUAUGGGGACCUAAACAAAACAAAAGAAAUUAUGUUACCCAACAUGUCAUAUAGAAAUACACAUGCAUUCUUGAAAUUAAAAUUAAUUACAAUAGCAACUGUCCACCAACUCCAAGUACAAAGUUCCAUACUCUGAAAUCCUAAUGUAAUAACCUGGUCAUCUUUUUAUCCUGUCAGAUUCAGCUAUAUUUCUCACUAUAUGAAGGGAGGCAAUUUUAUUCAUCCAGUAAAUAUCCAAAACUUAAACAAUACAUCUCUUAUAAAUCAACAACGAAAUCCACAAAUAAUGAUAUAUGGAGACAAUCAACCGACACUCACAAUUGUGUACUAAAAGAUAUCAAUUUAACAAUUAAAAACAAAAAAAAAUACACGGAAACUCCACAAAGGAAUGUCCUCAGCAUCUACAGGCUACACACCAGUAUGAUCUAUUAAUGAAGAAUUGAAGAUCCAAAAUCUAAAUGGUCAGAUGGCCAAAAUAUGAACAAAAUAGGUCUCACAUGUGAUCUUUAAAAUGCACAAAAAGUUAAUGAUCCCAGGAAUAGAAACCGCUAAAAAGAUAUAAGCUAAUGAUAGAGAAAUGGAAGAGAACUUGAGAACUUAUACAAGGACAUACUUGUAGAUGGAGAUUUGAGCCAAUUGAGCAAUCUGAGUUUUUACAACAAAGCAACAAUAUAAACUGAUCAACAGAUUCUUCAGCAACCUGUAAAAAAAUUGAUUAAAUUACAAAAUUUGAAUUAAGAUCUCAAGUAGUAUGGAAACUUUCAAUAUUCAAGAAUAAAUACCAUCUGGGAAAACUUGUCAGGCUCGACGACUACAUCAUAUGCGUGAACGUAGAAGAAAGAACACACUUUUUUUAUUUUUCUUUUCGAUGUCUAGCAAGACAGUAUAAACAAAUGUAAGGGAAAGAGGGGCCAAUGACCCAUCUUGUCCCUUAGUAGUUACGCCCUUCGUUUGAUUAUUUCCUCACCAACCAGAUACUUAGCAUGCUACACGAUUGAGGUAUACUAGGACUUCUUAUGUUGCAUUUCUAUGAAAGAUGUUGUAGUUGUGAGUAUUAGUAAAAGAGAAGAGAUAAAUGGUAAAGUAUCAUGGAGCACCAAGAUCUGGCCAAAGGCAGAGAAAUAUUGGUCCUAACACUUCGAGGCGAUUAGCAAUGGAAUGGGGAGUGUAAUUAGUUAUAAAGUUUAUGAUGCCCAACUAUGAGCUAGCUGGUUCCAGAUGAAGGCUAAAGAAAUCAAUCAGAGGAUCUUUAAUUUACUCUUUGACUAUGACAUAACACCCUUGUAGGCUAUGGAGGAAACUUGCAGAAAUGUAUGGUUUCACUAAGGGUGAGAAAUAAAAGGUAAAACAGUUUCACUCUACAGCUAAAAAUAGGUCUUUACUAACAUUGGUCUUAGCCAAAAAUAGGUACACUACACUGCAGUCUGCAGGCCUCUACCUCCUUACUUUUUCUCUCUUCACUCUCUUAUCCCUCAGAUUUGCAGGGCACUAUUUUCAAUUGAAACAUACUUGCAUACAAUACGAUUAAAUCAAACCCAUUUUGGAUUGAAACAGAAAGCUCACAUUACUGUUAGCAAGUGUCUUAUACUCUCUGAUCUCAUUAACGACAAAGGGAUUGGUUCAACAAGGUUGACUGAUAUGAUCCGACCAGAAACAUAUAAAUGAAAAAGUGCAUACACUUUGAACAGAGAACACAUAUUGCAACAAAACAGAUCGAGCAUCAAGUUAGCAACUCAACUCCUUCAACCCAAGUUGUAGGCUAACAGUUGGAGAUUGAAGUUAUAUGAUUUCUCAAUUAGAAUUAGAGGAAGAGGAUGGCGUGGAAUCAGAGAAAGAGAGAGUUUUAGUUACCUCAAACUCAAGUGCUCGGACAAGUUCGUCUGAUCUGACUUCUCACAGGGCUUCCGACUUCUGCGCAGACCCUACGGAAGAAAAGAAUGCAGAGUGCCUGCAGCGAGAGAUUCAGUCAUUUUAUUCCUUUCAAUUCUUUUUUUUUUUUUUUUUUGAAGACGGUCAAAGAACCCGUUAGGUCGACUGGUCGAAACCGUCGAGUGUUCCUCCUCCGUGAUGUAUUAUUAAUCGUAUUUGGCAUUUCGAUAUAGGAGCUAUUUUAGCGAGGACUUUUAAGUUGAGGGUUAGUUGAGGACUUUUCGGUUUAUGAUUUUUAAGACCCAAUUUUCGAUCACAUUUUGACAUCUCAUCCGUUUGGUUUUUAGGUUUAUAUAAGAGAUCAUUUCUACAAAUUUUCAUCUAAAUUUGUGUUCGUUAAGAUAACAAACUAGAUCAAAUUAAUGGACGAACCAAAUCUGUCAAAUAUGAACCGUUCAAGUUCAUAAUUGAUAAAUCACACUUAUGAAUACCUUAACAAUUUUCAAUAUAGCUAAAAAUUUAGAGAAAUGAUCUACUUAUAAAUACUUAUAAACUGAACGGUCAAGAUGUGGAUAUAAAAUUGAAAUAUGGGGUAAGCCGAAAAGUCUUCACCAAGUCCUUAACUUAAGGAUCCUCAAUAGAAGGGCUUCCAUUUGGAUAUAGUGUCUAAACCAUGUUAUGUGAUACCAUUAUCUAUGAGGACAUUGUUUAUAAGGACAUCAUCUAAAAGGAAGGAAAUCCUGAAUAAUACAUGGUGUAUUGUCUAUCCAAAAGUUAUCUAACAUAAAUAAACUAACAAAAUGUGAUGAUCUAUGUAAAUACCAAAACCAAACACUUUGAAAGUGUGAUAAUCUAUGUUUAACACUGUUUGUUUCACGAUAAACAUGCAUAGAUGAAAAGAAGUUAAAUUCUUGCAUAUAGUAUUUGUAAUCAUCAAGAACCACUCGUAUCUCAAACAAGUUAAUUUCAUCUCUUACCAUGGCUGAUAGCACUGCACAAUCACUUGCUCAAUCUCAUUUCAUUGAUGGUGAAUAGCUAUAAGUAACCCAGCCCUAAUGGCUUUUGCCUCAACACGCAACGCAGAUUGUGCAUGCUCCAUGUACCUAGAUAACGCAGCUAAACACUUCCCAACCUCAUCUCGUGCCACUACUCCAACUCCGCCGUUCCCAUACUCUGCCAAGAAUGCACCAUCAACGUUAUGCUUAACUCUAUGGUUCUAAAUUACCACAUGACAUUGCUACAUGGUGGUUUGAGCCAAUGUUAUCACUUGAAUUUGACCAUUGCAAGGGUGAACAAAAACAAUAAUUAAACUAAAGGAAUCAUUGCAAAAAAUACAUUUCAAAAUAAUAUUAACCUCGAGACCAUAAAAUAAUUCCACAUGAUCCAUUUGAACCCUUAAACUCCCUGCAAUUAAGGUACAUUUCCAGGUUAAAUAGUUGUGUGUCAGUUAAGGCUAGUAUUGUUUUUUUUUGUUUUUUUUUUUUUGUUACAAAAAUGGCUAAUACGUUGUUAAAAAAAGUCUACAUUUGAUGUACCCUUAAUGUGUCGUAUAAGUUUGUUAAGGUCGUUGAGAUGAUAGUUGGGGGUUGGGGGAAAAUCUUUGAGGCUAUGUUCGGUUGUUGAUUGCGACCUCAAAUGUAUGGACAGUUUGGUGGUGGAGAGAUAUAUGCACUCUGCAGUACUAGUUAUGACAUAUUUUCUAAAGAGAAAAAUGUACCGCUGGUACCCCAAUUUUUGUGGCACGGUCAAAGUGGUACCCAUACUUUAAAAACUAUCAAUAUGGUACCCAAACUUCUAUUUCGCUACGAAGGAAAGGCCUGAGGCCAAUUUUCGUAACUGUGCCGUUAGUUUGCUGACGUGGCUAGUAUGAGGUCCACUAAAAAAAGAUGUAAUGACAAAAAUAACCUUCUAAUUCUCCAGAACAGUUUUCCCUCCAAAAUCUUUAAAAUUGAAUAUUUGGUUUUCAUCCUGGAUAUCACAUUGAUUAGUUCAGUAAAAUUUAGGUAUCACAUUGAUCAUUUUAGUAAAGUUUAGGUAUUACUGUUGUGUUUAUCUGCUGACAAUAAAUACUAUGCAAUGCAAUAGCUGAAAAUGUAACAUAGAAAUUCAAACAUAGAACCAAAAGGUCUGCCAAUAUCACUGAAUUAAAACCAUUAAAACCAACAUCAGUUCAACAUGAGAAACAUACUAUGCAUUAGAUUCAAGCUUAAUUGCUUUCCAAAAACUCAAGGAACCAGAUUGUUUGCAAAAAAUUAAUUCCAAAACAUGAUGAAGUACACAUUAUGUUUCUCUGAUUUAAAGCCAGCACAUUCACUUUUGAGCACCCCUUGCUCCAUGAUUUUGGCUGCUUUAAGUAGGAGGCUGUGUUGAGGCCGUCUGAUGCACUACCAUUUCCAGCAGAACUACCCUCCAUUGCCAACUUCAUUUUCUUCCAUCCCUUUCUAGACUUUAUGACCUGGUCCUUGAUAGGUCUUGAUUCCUUGGGUGGGGCUGGUGCCCUUUGGACCUGUGAAAGACAAACAAGACAUUUCCAACACAAUUCAACAACAACAUUAUUUCCAACAGUUAACAAAACAUUUCAGCAAUAUUCCUAAAACCAAAGUACUCCUGAAAUGUCAAUGAAAGGAUAGUAAAAAGAUGCAAACACUACAUUGUGUUGUGAAGUGGCUUAAAGCAAUAAAGCAUUCAAACAAAACGGAAAGACAUUCUAAAGCAAUGAUCAAUUAGAUUACCACAACGACAACUAACGUUCAUGUCGUCCAAACGUUGAUUGCUUAAGGAACAGCUCAACCAAAGAUGAUCUCAGCACACUUAUGGACACUGGAAGUAUCGGAACAUUCACCGGAUCAGAAGACACCAAACACCACAUCAGUCCAGUUAGAUGCACUAUUUUGGUGCAUGGACAAAAUAGCCACCUGUUGACAAAAUAGCCACCUGCAUCUGAGCAACAAAAAUAUAUCAAAAAUAACUAUUUUGAAAGCCAAUCACCAAUUACUCUUUUAAUCUUAUAUAAGGGCUUUUAUGCAAAAAAAAAAAGACUUUUAUGAAUUUGGUAUUCUUCUCUUUCCAGAGUUGUUAUAGUAUGGUAGGAGCAAACUUGUUACUAAAAUGGAGCUGAAUUAGUUCUGCAGCAAUGCUAACAAAUUGGUCCAGUCAUAUGCCAUAUUAGCUAUUCUAGGGUCCUCAACAUGAACAAUAAUGAUAAUCCAACAAUGUAAAAUGAAUCCAAUCCCAUACGAAGGUAUCAUUAGAAGCUUGAAGGAACUUUUGGCAGGAUAAUUCAGUGCCUUUGUAGACAACACAGGUCAUUGUACUAGGACAUCUUAGUUAACAGAUUUACAAGUUGACAAAUUUAACAGAUUGUGUCAAACUAAUCAUAUCUAUGAUCAUUAUGCUUAGCUUUGAUAUUUUGAGGUGAUUAACACAUAGAUUACGAUGGGUUGGAUUAUGCACAUAAGGCUGAGAUCUAUUGGUUCUCACCAGUUGCCACAUUCAUGGCUAGUGCGGUUGGGAUGGGGACGUGACACCUAAUUCUUGACAGGUACAUGAAAUUCUGACAGCCAAGUAAAAUCCCAAAUUUUUCAGGUUCUAAUUUGCAUAACAAGCAGGUGAAACAAUGAAAAAGCUGCAUAACAAUAUCCUCGAAACGCAAGCAAUGCUUAAAAAACAAGUGACAAGGCAAUAUCCUAUAUAUAGCCGGGUGAGUCGAACAUUGCAAGACCCAAACAAUCAUCAAAUUCAUUUUAUUCUAAAAGCAUAAAAAACCCCUAAUAAUUAGGUUAACCACCAUUGAACCAAUAUUGACACACCAGCACGAUGAAGAUCCCCAAUAUCCCCAAAAAUACAUAAAAUCAUGCCAGAAAUACGAAAAUUAACAUACUCAUUACCUCAAAAAAGAAAAAUUGAACCGAUUUAUACAGAAGAAAAAGGAAUAAGUGGACCUACCACCGAGCUUAAUCGAUUCUUUGGCAUCGAACCCAGAAUUGACGGAAUGGCGAGGAAGGAUCCAGAAGAUCCCGGAGAGGAAAACCGAGAAGCCGAGAAUUAAACGAAGACGCAUCGGAAGCUGAACUCCUGGGCGAUUCUGUUCAAGAAUCUGGAACAUUCGGGACAAAUGAACCCAGAAGCAUCGAGGGUUUGGUGACUCUGAUCCUGGAGGUGCUGCUGGUGCAGGCUUUUCUCACCUUUCCCCAUUUGCAGGGAAUCUGGGAGUCUCACACAGACUUGGGUCUCGCCGUCUCGUCUCUUUCUCUGUCGAAGAAGAAGAAGAAGAAAGGGAAGAAGAAGGAAGGUGAAGAAGAUGUGAGAGAAAAAGUCGUUUUUGACUCGAUUAGGGUGUAGUCUGUGUAAAAUGUCUUUUUUGCCUUGUUUUUAAUGGACCUGAUGCUGGUUACGUCAGCAAACAGACGGUACGGUGACGGAAAUUGGUCUCAGGCCUUUCUUUAGUAGCAAAAAUAAAAUUUAGGUACCACGUUGAUAGUUUUUAAAGUCUAGGUACCACUUUGACCGUGACACAAAAAUUGAGGUACCGGUGCUCUCAAAACUUCUUUUCUAAAAAGCUGAAACGAGAUUAUAUGUUGACACUCAAAUUAGUUACAUUUCUUUCGACAAUCACGUUUAUAAAUGUCACUAGUGAUAACAGACUCAUUAUUUAUUAGCACAACCAACGGCUGGUCUCUAAGAUAAUCUUUUUCUAGUAUUAUACACUUCUAUAUACUUCUAUACUUGUAGAUUUCUUCUUUUUCAGAGGAUCUAUACCUGUAGUUAUAUGAGUAAUAGCGUAUGUCCGACGGACCUAGAGAAUAGAAAGAGGAACAGAUACAGCAUUUAAGUAGAGGACACCAAAAGAGAGAGUGGAAAGGAAGGGAAUUGAAAUUUAAAAAAAGGAAAAGGGAAAAAGGCCAGCAGUGUAUGCUGGAAUGCUCUGAGGUCACGCAUCUCCUUCUCAUCGAUUUCUCCAUUCUCGAUCUGGGUUUCCUUCCUUCCCUUACGGUUCGUCUCUCCAUUCGAUUACCUUCAAUUCCAGUUUUUGUCUUUCUCAAAUCUCACAUCUUUUUGUUGAAAUUUUGUUGCUUUCAGAUCGAAAUCUUGAUGUGAACCAAAAUUGAAUUCUCGGGUUCAAAGCUUUGUGCUUUAUGCCUGGGCUAUUAUUAUAGCUCAGAGGGUGUAAAGGGUUUGGCUGAUUGUUCCAACAAUUGGGUUUGGCUUUGAUUCUUAUGAGCAGUUGAGGGUUCAAGUCUUUUCAGUUUUUGGAUCAAUCUUAGUGAAUUGAGAGUUUGGAGGAUAAAUUUUGUUGUAGACAAUGUUCUAUGGUGCAGUAGUAUGGGACCCUUGGCUCAUUGUUGUCCAAAUUGUGUGCCUUCAAUGUCUCUACUAUCUCACUCUCGGCUUGUUCUUGGCUAUUCUUGUUGGGACUCGCGUGUCCCGAAUGAGCCUUGUGUAUUUCUUUGAUUUCGCUACUGUCACCGUCUCCACUGUCACCGGGUGGUGCGUCAUUGCUUCCUUUGUGCUCAGUGCACUUGCAAGGUGAGAACUCCGUUCGGCUUGUCUUUGCAGUUACAAUCGCUGUUCAAUUUAAUAAGAUUCUUUUUGUUGCAUUGAGUUAUUAUUGUUUAGGAACACAAAGUGGGAAUGCAUUCCAGUUUUAUCUAUUGCUCGUAGAUAUAGAGCUCGUAAAGUUUGUGAGAGGAGAAAGUGUGCUUGUGAUUUGUGAAAACAUCAGUGAAAAUAAUCUGACAUGAACAGUUUAGGUAAUUUCCUGUCUUGUUUGUUUACAGCGCUGGAUAUCUAGUCCUUCUGAUUGAGAGGUCAAAAAAGUGCUUAGAUUUUUCAGUCACCCUGUACAUCGUUCAUCUCUUUAUCUGCAUUGGUUAUGGGGGUUGGCCUUCUUCAAUAACAUGGUGGGUUGUAAAUGGUACUGGAAUUGGAGUGAUGGCUUUGCUAGGUGAAUACCUCUGCAUGAGACGUGAACUGCAGGAGAUCAAGAUCCCUACAACACGAUAUCGCUCAAGUAAGAUCCCCCCUACCACUUAGUAUGUAAAAGUAAAGCUAAAAGUGUGAAACAUAAAGUUCUGUUGUUAAUAUUAAACUUUCUUUCUGCUGCCAGUGAUAUGUCAGUCAAGUUUACUUUCUCGAUUCAUCCUCGUUAAUGACUUGAUGUGUUUUGAUAUUUCUGCUACUUUUUGGUGUGCGCAUCAGGAACUUGUAGUUCUUUCCUAUUUGUUGGUAGUUUUCAUUAAAUAAAAACUUGUUCCUAGAUGAAGAGUAAACAAUAAUCCUGCUACGGUAAAUGCCUGCUUAUUUAGUGAGAUUCUACAGUCUUAAACAUAUGUAGGAGGAACUUAUAUGCUACAGAUGCACUGUUUUUUUUAAGGCACUCAUCUUUUUAUUUCAUGCUUACGUCCUAGCUACGUAGCAUGGAUACGCCGUUUUGGUGCCGUAUCCCAAAUAUGCGGGGACAGGCGUCUGAUUUGGAUACAUAUCUAAUAUUGCGUAUCCAUAAUAAGUAGAAUAUGCGGAGUAUUCUCUUCCUCUUCUCUUCUACCCGCCCAAACAGAGAGGUAUUCUCCUUCUCUUCUGAAUUCAGUUUCGUAGGUUGGGGCAGUGUCUAUGAUGGGGUAUAUGAUCUGGGUUGGGUAUCUUUAUAUAAUUUUCAAUAUAAUCGAAAAUUGAAUAAGUGAAGUAUAGAGGAGAACCAGGGGGGACGUCUGCAAUGUACCGGGUAUUCGAAAACCAAAACAAUGAAUUGACUCUUUUACCCUGUAUCUCUCUUACCCAGAAAGCAAGAGGCUCACUUUCUGAAGAGAAUUGGUUAGUUCAGAGUGAUCUGCUUAUUUCUCUAAGAAAAGGAACUGAAUAAGAAGAUGGCUCUGGCUAAAGAGAUCUUGGGUUGUUUUGUUUUGGUGGGGAGAAACCAAAAGCAUUUCUAAGAAUAAAAAAAGUACAAUUCACAACCUCCAGGAACUCUUCAAUGAGGUUUCUUAAUUAAGAACUGUACUUCAACUGCAGUUGAUGGGUUAAAAGACUCCAUGUUUUGCAGCUUCCCUCUAUACCAUGAAGGAUGGUUACCAUCUCUGCACUUUACAGCAAUUUCUUUUGGGAAUAUAACUUCUAAAUUGGGAAACUGAGGUUUUAUAAUCUUUAAAUGAGGGGUUAUGUGGCAACUUCUUCAAUUUUCGUCUCAUCCUGACAGGUGGUUAUGGAAGGGUUGACACGUAGCUACUUAUUUAUGGUUCUUGAAACACCUCUACUGCAGCUCCCAUAGAUGAAAAUGGGAAUAGGAUAGCAGCAAUGCAAUGCUAUUUUGUUUAGCCGGCGUAUCCGUCAUGUAGCUUUGUCUCAUCAUAUUUUACAUUUGGCGUGGCCGCGUAUUGUGUCGGAUACGGAUACUCGUACCCCUAUCCGUGCUUCAUAGCAUCCUAGGAUAGUUCCAUGGCUUGCAUUAGGAUCACUAUUCUGCUUCCGUUUCAAUUGGUCCAACUAAGAUUUGAUAAAGAGCAAUUGCAUUGUUGCCCUUGUCUUUCUUCACAAGUUGUUGUAAUGUAUGCAAAUUAAUUUGGAACUAUAUCUAUGCAGAUGUUUGACCGAGGAGAAACACAACAUGCCAGAAUUGUGGGGUUAUAGAGGGUACUCGUUUCUUUGGAGGAGCUUCAGGAUAAAGCUCAUGAACACCACAUACAAUAUUGGAUGAGAAGAAAUGCUUUAGUCUGUGGAUUCUUUUGUCUAUGCUGGUGGUAAUUUACAUAGAACUUCUGUAAAAGUUUGAUACAGUGCUUCAAAUGAUGGGAGUUGUGAGCACAUGAGACUAGGUCUAGGUAUUGUUAUAGGAAAAUCAUAAUGUACAAUUUUAGGUGCAGCAAUGCAUAUAAUGCUUCUGAUUUCAUUUUUUUCUCCCUUCUUUUCUGUUUCCACAGAGAUAAACAUUAUCAAUUCAGUUUAUAUUGUUAGUGUUAUUAUGAUUCUCUUUAUAAUCUGAAGGAGUUUCUUGGUAAUUUUUAUUGUUUGGUUGGAUGCUAUUGAUUAUUGUAGGACUAUUAAGAAAUUUGCUACAGAAACCUUUAACCUUGUAAUACUUGAGCAAAUUUUUCUUUCAUGCUUGCCUUAAUGAUUGUUAGUAACAUAUUAUAGUUUAGCUAGAAGCCUGGGUUUAUUGCAGAAAGCAUGCAUAUGAGAGUUAUAUAUGUUGCAAUCAUAUGGAAAAAUUGCAUUUAAUCACGUCUAAAAUGGAAUUUUUCUGAAGUGGGACAAGGUAUGAGUUAGAUUGAUGAUUAAUUGGCUCUAUAUGUAUCACAAAAUCGAACAUCCUUGGUCAUUUUGAUAACUCCCUGCUGACUGAUGAGCUACGAGCUUGUUAGAUUUCAUGCUUCUGUAGAAUGCAAGUAUGUGGAUUCUCACCUUUCUACUCGUAGUUCUGGUAAUUUUAUUGCUCAUCUUUAUCUUAGUUACACUCAGUAACUGAGUAGUUUAUCUCAAUCAUCUGUAUUUCCGCUAAACAUGCCAAGGGGUUGGUUAGAAACUAAGAAUAUUAGAAAAUCUAGAUCGGCUAAUUUUAGUCUUAGGAAAUACAUGGUGGCGGACAAUUUUUGUAGUGCCUUUGAGAUGAUUUUGCUUCGUAGCAUAACAAUGAAUUUGGUAUUCAUUGAGGGCAAAUCUGAUCAUGAAGCUAUCUGUCUCACUAUCUUCAAUGAACUAGCAUGAAAUUCAAUACUCAAUAGCUAGUUAAGGUGAAGCUUAACCUUGGUCAUUGAACAUGGAGGCAAAAAAACUUCUAUAUUUGCUUGUAUUUUUUGCCUCGGAUAAAUAAGAGUAAGGCUUCUAUAUUUGCUUGUAUUUAGGCAAAAAUGAGUAAACACAUAAAAUCUACUUGGGAAGAACUCAAAGUAAACUGGAACUUUGAUUUUGUACAAUGGAAUAUUCAGGUUUACCACAUAGAAAGUGUUCCUAAAAAAUAAAAUAAAAACAAACUUGUCCAAGUAGCUGUAGAAAGAAGGCGACACUUGCAUUUCCAACCCUCUCUGGCUCAUAAUUUGCAUACUGAACCCUGCAAUAGUUUUUGCUUUUUGGUAGUGGGCGCUUGAAUAGCUUCACAUGGAGUGCAUCCAUAAUUUCUUCUCACAGCUUGGAGGGCUUCACCCUUUUUUGUUUCCCCCCUCUGUAAUUAUAUCCCCUACUUGAGCUUGUCAAUCCCCAAUUUGAUAGAGAAACAAUGUCAAUUACACACACUAGGCUAAACAGACACACCUACACAGGGAAGAAGCGAGGGACCUGCCCCAAGGUAAAUUGUGAAAACUGAUGUGGGUUCUGUAGAUAAAAUCAAAGAUAUCUGCUUUGCCUCCAUCAAUUAGUUGUUGAAGCAUGUAUGUGGAGAGGCGUGGCUAUCGUUGCGGAGUGUUUCAUCUUCGUACACCGUUCCGGCUUCCAGGGGAGGACGAGGUUUUGAUUUGAUUUGAUUUAAGCUCUUCAAUAUGAAAGCAAGCCACCGUCAGAGAGCUGAUCCAUUUACUGUUGAAAGUACAACCCUCGUGGCUGCAACCCAAUUUUAUGUCAGCUUAUUAAGCAAUCCAGUAACAGGUUUGAGUACACACACAAGAUAGCUGGGUCUCUUUCCAUCAUGGGUCUGAACAUCCAACUAUCAUUGAAAAGAUGUACAUGUACCUGCUUCUUCAUGUGGCUGUCUACCCUGAGCUGCCUGUCGUUGUUGCCGUUUGGGACUCACUUGCAUCAGGUAUAGUCCCGGUCUUGUUGUUCCUGCAGUACCCAGUAUUGGUGUUCCUUCAACUAGGGGUUUGGAGGGAAUGAGAGUUGAUACUACUGUGGAAGCAGAGGCUCCCUCACGUGUUAUUUGUACCGAGGAUCUUCCAGUAGGCAAUGUACAACUGAUCAAUCGUUUGCCCAAUGUCAUGCGCAUUGCAUUCUCCAGUGGCUGGAGAUCAGUGGCGUAUGCCCCCUCGGCAGAGCCGAAUGCAGCAAGCAAUGAUAUCUUUGAUACUGGUUAAGGCUCAUGUAUAGGCCAAUGCAGCCUCCCUUAAGAGGUGCCCAUGUCUUCUUAACUCUAUUAGUUUCGUUCUUAAUUGUCGUCUUAACUGUUAAGCUGCUACUAAAUCAAAUCAAGCUUCACAAUUUUCGCAUUGUAUAUCGUCUUUGCUCUAAUUUGUUAGGAACCAUGCGACAUUGUCCUGCUUUAUUUGCUGAUAUUAUAAUGACUUUGUACUUCAAUUAGGGUUGCCAUACAAUUGGGGAUUUGGGGUUACUUCUUAGGUUUCAUUUGGGAUCAUUUUGAUUUCCCUAGACAAACAAGUUGGAUUUAGUCAUGAUGCUUUGCUGUUUACCUUAAAACCAAGUGGUCAGAUCCCUAAGACAUCUAAAAACAAGUCAUUUAUGUUCUUUAGUUCACCUUACUAUUCAUGGUUGGUCAAGAGAUUACUUACAUAUUAUAUGGUGAAAUUUCGAUAUCUUAUGCCUUUCCGGCAUACAUGGCGAGCCUGCAGCCACCCUUUCAUUGUUUCUGCUAUGUAUGCAUAGAUCUGGUCAUGUGAGCAUGUAACAGUUUAGGUUUCACUUGUUUUAAUUUAAGUGAGUGACUUCUCUUGAAAUAGGUUCUACUUUGUGUUUUCUUCUAGUUCCCCAUGAAUCCAUGAUGUGAUUAUGCUUUCGUAUUGAUUAGUAGAGGUUUGGCAGAGACGGCAGACUGUAAAUCCAUCUUGGCAUACUUGUACUGUAAAUGGAAUGUUGACGGUAGAGGGUUCACCACUAUACUGAUAUUCGAUAGGCUUAGCUAUUAGCCAAUUAGUAUGUUAAAUUAGAUAUCUUGAUCGAAAUGCUUGAGGUUUGUUUGGAACACUAGAAAAGUCAAGGCUCCUCAAUUUUUAGAGGAGGCAUUUUGCAGGUCAAUUGAAGUUCCUUUUGUGGUUCCUCCCAUCAACUGCUUUAGCAUAGAUAGGCUUUGCACUAUUGACAGAGAAAUUGAUCAUUUCAUUGUGCUGACUUUGUGCUCAACCGUUGUUGUUGCCUGAGCAUAAGUCCCUCUGUUGCCAGAAUGAUUAGUUGAUUACUAGGGCAGUCACUAUGUUCCCCAUUUUUGAAAUUGAUGAAUGGCGGCCUUCAGAGUAAGUUGCUUUUAUCACAGCAGUGGAGUUGCAUAAAUUUUACGUAUGGUUUUUAUUGUGGUUUAUUAGAUUGAUCUCUCGGCCAUUAGGGUUUUAGUGAUUUACCUAUCAUUGCUGACGGUGCUUCAAAAAUUCUUGCAUAAACGUCUAACCAGUUCUUCUCAUUACAUCUCUUGUCUUGCCUAGUUUGUAAGAUAGAAAUUCGAUGAAUGCGAAGAUGAAGCUUAAACUAUGAUCAAAAGUGAGAACUUGGAGUUUAACAACUUUCUAAUUCAACCAAAAUGGUUAUUUUCCAUGGAUUCCCCACAAAAAGACAUCACAAAGAAAAUACCGCUGGCAUUACUAAAGCUCUUCCUAGACUGUCCAGCAAGCAGUGGCUUUAGCCAUAUUUAUAUACUUUUUUUUUUUUUGGUCGAGAAGCCAUAUUUAUAUACUGGGCCAUCCAGUCCUACUGAGGUCCUUUAGAAGGUCAUGCUCGAGCCUUCCAUAGUGAUGAUGUGUCAGCCACAGCUUCUCCAACUGUGAGAUAGACUCCAUUCAAUCCGAAUGACCCCAAAGUCUUUGAUUGUUGUAGCUUUUCCAUCACGCUUCCAACAGGAUUUGCCAACACAAGCUAGGGUAGUAAACAACACCAAUGUACCAAGAUGAGAAAAUAUGUCUUCCCAGAAACGCCAGAAAUUCAAUAUUCAUUGCAAUAUUAGCAAACCCUUACCUGAAGCAAUCUUUUCUCUAGCAUCUUUCUGAGUUCGGACAAUGUGUCGAUACCACUAGUGUCGAUGGCUGUCACAGCUGAGAGAAUAUGUAUAACCGUUAGUCUAAUGUAGAAAGCAUUUGCAACGGCAAUUUUACAUAAUGUUAAUGUAAAGAUAGGUGAAUUCAUGUAACCUCAUACCUGUCAUGUCUAAAAUUACACAUUUCAAUAUGCCCUCAUUGUUUGAUUUUAUCCUCUCUUCUUCUUCGCGAACCCAUCUUAGUAUUCUGUAGUAGCAGAAUCCGCAAGUUAGAAAACCAUGGCCAGAAGUUUCUCAUUAACACACCAUUUCUUAGAGUAAAAGUGUUUUUCAAAACCCUCUGAUACAACAAGUCUUUAACUUUUAAACCCUGAUUUGCUAAUGUCAUGAGAGAGUAGUUGUAUACAACUGUUACAGGGAAAAUUUUCUUGUCAAAGGGGUGUGAAGUGUAACUAACCUCUCUUGUAGGUAAGUUGAAUUUGCAAAGUAGAAUGGUGCCUCGAUAGCUAGAAUAAGAAAUGAUGGAAUCCUUGAAGCUUCUCCGUAUCUAUUGAGAUUCUGGUAUAUUUGUGUUCCUGGAAUAUUCCCCAAAGCCAUGGUGUUUGGUCUGGUGACAUGAAGGAGGAUCUUGAAAACUGAUACUCCAACCUGCAUUGUACAGAGAAGUUGUUAGAGAUUGAUGAAUGAUGAUGGAGAAAUGACAUUUAGGAAAAGGAUAGAAUUUUUUUUUUUCUAAAAGAAAAUUGUAAGUUUGUGAAUCGUGCAACUAAAAUUAGCUUCGUUGUCUCGCAUUCUAAUCUAGUUGACAUGGUCAAUUAAAAGACAACAGAAUACUUGAGAUUAGGAAAUCUUACUGCAAUUGCGAGACCAAUUGGGACAGAAAUGAAAAGAACGCCGAAGAAGGAGCAUAAACAGGCCAUGCAGUCAAGUUUGUCGACUUUCCACAAGUCAUAUGCAGCUUGAUAAUCAAUUAGUCCGCUCACAGCCGUUAAGAUGAUGGUGGCUAAGAUAACAUUGGGGGUGUAAUAGAAGAGUGGCAUUAGAAACAGAAGAGUUAUAAGCACAGCUGCGGCCAUAAUAAUGUUUGAAACAACUGUUUUUGCUCCAGCAUUGUAGUUGACUGCAGAUCUAGAGAAUGAACCUGAAAGUAAAUAAUGUGCUAUUAGUUGUUGCAUCUAACCAGCGCACUUGCAUUGCUUUAGGAUAGUCUACGUAUCAUAUUGUAGGAUCGAUCUUUACCUGUGGUAACAUAACAUGAAGAACAAGAACCACAAAUGUUCAUGAGCCCAAUUGCCAUCAUUUCUUUGUUUCCAUCCACUUGGUAGUUUUUCAGAGAAGCAAAUGUUCUUCCUACUGCAACUCCUUCCUAUUACAUAAAAAAAAAAAAAAAAAAAAUGCUUGUAUAAUAGCUGUAGGUGUAUAACUACUUAGUAAGGGUCGAGAAUUAAUGAGAAUCUAUUGCAUUUAAAUGUAGUAUACAACCUCUAACAUCACAUAAUUAUUGAUCAAAUGAUCACCAUGUGAAGGGUUAGUGGAUGUAUGCUGUACUUUACUAGAUAAAUUUGCCAAAGUAAAAGAGAAGGGUACGAUUUGAGGUGACUUACGGUCAGAGACAAGAUCCCAGUUAUAAUGCCAGUUUUUAUAGCAAGAGCUAGGUAAGGGCCACUGAAGUAUAGCAUGUUUGAUGAAGGUGGAUUAACACCCUUUGGCAAAUGACCAAUCUGUUACACAAGUUUUCAACUUUAAGAAAGUACUUUAUCAAGAAUAUUCCAUGUACCACCAAAAUUAGACACUAGUUCUUACAACAGAGAUUUUAGGAUUCUUUGAAUGGAGGAGGAAGACUAUGAGUGUCGAAACAAUAACUGAUGUCAAUGGAGCUGCUGCUGCAACCCAGAAGAGUUUGGGGUUUCUUUUGCUCUGUUCAAAACAACAAAACCAAACAACAUUUAUAACUUGAAAAGAAUUGAUACAUACUUGUAAGUGUUGACAGUGUCGAAAGACACUUACAAUAUGCCUGGUUAUGAAUAGAAACAGCAGGAAGCUGAAGCCCAUCACAAUUGUUUGCCAUGACCACUGCACAUCAGAAAGAAAAUAUUACUAAACGCAGUUCCUCCAUCAGUAACAUUUCGAUUAGAACCACUGCAGAUUUUGCAUUAAUAUUCUUACCAUAAAAGAAAUUUUUUUUUUUGAGCCCCCAAAACACCUCUGUAGUUUAACUUGCCCCCAAAACACCUCUGUAGUUUAACUUUCAACCGAACAUUGCUCAAAAGGAACAAUAUGAAAUACUAGUUCCAUACAAUGGUAGACUAACUCAAAAUUAGACUUGGCUAAUUAGCCAAUACAUUUAGCAAGUUUAUGUCUAUUUCGAAUUAAUUUACUUCGUAUAUACGGAGUACUUUCCAAAAUCCAAAAGCACUUCUAAGCAUACGUACAGACACAUGAAAUGACCUUAAAUUUUUCAACUGUUGGAAACAAUAAGCAAAGCAAGUAGGAGAUUCUCUUAAUUAUAAACUGAAAGAAAGUUGACACCUGCUUGGUUAUAAUAAAGCGUCAUGUAGAUACCUUCCAGUUUUGUAAAAUAUAUUUGGAACAUUUUGAUCACAAUGAGAAAGUAACCUUUACGAAAUAGCAAAGUAAUCUUUUUCUCAGAGCAUUAUUGACAGUAGCAAGAAAGUUCUUCCCAAUAGUACCUUCAUGAUUCUAUUCCAAGAUUUCGCUCAAAAGUCUUAAUCUUUGUUUAAGAAAAUGAAGAACAAAUUGCUUGAUCCUGCUCAAGGAACUUAAAUAUAUACCUCCUGUCUGUGGCUGAAAACUGAGGCCAUGACUGGAAUAAAUUGCAUUUUGGUGGUGAAGUGGACAAUCCCAAGCAAUCCUUUCAACUGUUGCAGGGAAACAAUGACUGCUGCACCGGCCAUAAAUCCAACUAGAGUUGCCUUUGACAGAAAAUCAAUUAUGAAGCCUAGCCUGUAACACAAUAUACUAUUGAUUAGUUGCAAUUUUUUUUUAAUAAAUAUCAAAAUAAUUCGUAGUCCAGUAAACGUAAUAAUUAGUAAUAUUAAAAUGUUGUUGCUGUCAAUUUUUCUGCAGGUGAUUACUUACCUUAGAAAACCCAGAGAAGCCUGGAAAAUACCAGCAACACAUGUAGCUGUGAAGGCCAACUUCAGAUAAAGGAUUGGCUCUUCAGUACUAGAGACAACCUCACUUAACAUUGAUCCCAUGACUAAUGAUGCUAUUGAAACUGGACCAACAGCAAGAUGCCUUGAACUCCCAAGCAGUGAAUAUAUCAGUGGGGGCACAAAACUUGAGUCUACAUAAAACCCAAUUAGAAUAUAAGUGAUCAUUGUAAAUAACUGUUGUAUUAAAUAAUCUAAUAAUAUAGGAUUAAGUUCAAAUAUUGGUACUAACAUAGCCCAACUAUUGGUGGCAAAUUUGCAAGCUUUGCAUAACUGAUACCCUGCAAAAGUUGAGAAACAAGUUCAAUCAGAUCACCCAGAACCUGAGUUGUCUUCAAGUUGUAAAUAUUUAGGAGACUAACACUAUAGGAAUAUAUACCAUAUUUGAUUCCAAACAGAACAUGGCCAUUUGGUUUACAUGAAAGAUAAAGACAGAACUUUUAUAUCUGAAUGAAGAUGAAUGGAAAUUGCAUAACCCACCUUUUGGAUUUUCAUUAAAACCAUAGCCACCUUUAUUCUUUUUUCUUAAUCAGAGCCAUGCAACAAUAAAUGCAGAGAACACAAAAUGACAUUUGUACCUGAGGAAUUGCAAGGCUAGCAAUAGUGAGGCCAGAGAUGACAUCAGACUUGAGAAGUUGAGCAUUGUACUCAGGAGCCCACUGGAAUAUUGGGAACAAGAAUUGAAGACCCAGGAGCAGUUUUCUGAACCAAGUUUGGUUCUUGAACCUGUGAAGUGGGUUUUCUGGGAAAAAGAUCUCACCAAGCCUAUGUUUGAGUUUCUGCAAGGUGCUCUGUUUUGGUGGCAGACAGACCCUGUGGAUUUCAAGCGGUGGCAUUGCCUCUAAGUCUAUGUCUGAUGGGAUUCUCACAGUGGUGGUUUGAUGAUGAUCAUGGUGGCAGGGAAGGUCCUCAACUCUGUUUGAGUUGACACCCAUCUUUGAUUGUGAUCUUCACACUUGUACUCUCUCCUCUCUCCCUCGUUAAUAGAGAAAACAGAACGAGCACCCUGGAAGUUGGUAUGAAAUGAGAUUAUGAGAGUAUGGAUUUGUAUUUAUAGGCCAUUUGAAGGAAGUGGGGGUGGCAAGUGUAAGAAGGAGGUUAUUAAUACAGUUGUUCAUUUCCUACUGAGGGGCUUGUUUUGUAAUAUUUGUGUUCAAAGCUUCUUCUUCUUUUCUUCUUUUUUUUCGUUCUUUCUUUCUUUUUUCUUUUAAUUAUUUUUAUUUUCUUCUUCUUUUUUAGAUGGAGCAGUCGUUAUCUAUGUUAUAAAUAUUAUAAUAUAUCUGGUUGUCCACGUAAUUACUCAUUAGUUAUGUACUCUGAUGUAAACUCUACCUCUAUAUAAAGAUGCUAAUGAAAAUAAAUGAGUAGACUUAUGUCUCCUCCCAACUAUUCUCUCUGUGUCUUCUCUUCUUUUCUUUACUUUACAAUACGUUAUCAGCACGACUCUACCUUUGAAUUGAUAACGAACAUUUUUUUCUCUCCUUAUCUCUAACUCGAUGAUGAUCUGAAAGCCUAGAUACAACUUUGUUGUUUUUCAUUGACUAGGUACUCUUGAUCUGUGAGUCUCAAUUUCCAUAAAUCAAUUCUCAGUUUCUCAAUUUCUAUUAGUUCAAUUGCUAAAUAUAAUUAGCAGCAAUUCGAACAAUUGAUCAUUAAUUUUAUUUUUAUUUUUUACUGUUAACGAUAACAAUUAGGAUGGUGGGUGUUUGAUACCAUACAUACUUUAUCUUGCAAUUACAUUUAUUAUGUAUAUCUAUUAGUGCUUGAUUCGUUCAUAUCAAAGACCAAAUUGGUUUUCUAUGAUUGGAUAGUUUAUUUUACGUACUGUUUUGUUUUUCUUUUUUUCUUUUUUAUUAAACUCUAUGAUGAUUUAAGAGUAUUUGGUGAUUGAUUUUUGCCCAAAACUCAUGAUCUACGAGUCAUACCUUUUAUUGUUUAAUUAUCCUCUCUGUGUGCAUCGGCUCCUCUAAUAGGCAGCCACGGUUUUUUUUUUUGUUUUGGUAUGUGCAAUUCAAUUAGUUUGUGUAAUCAAUAAUUAAUUCUAUCUAUGAUAAGCUAUUUAUGUUUCCCUCAUCAAUCUCUCUGCAAACAUAACUUGUCUUGUUUGUUCUUUGUCAUUAGUUAGUAUGCACACAUAAUAGGAGAUGAUUUCAGUUCGUCUUGCCUAUACGAUCUCAUACAUAUGAUUACAAUUUCUUCUUUCAUAAAUAUAUAUUUAUCCUUAUGGUAUGGACGAAAAGUUUCAUGUUCCUCUUCUCCAUGAUAUAGAACACAGAGCCUUCCGAUUUUUUUAUUUCAGGUAAAAAUUUUCAUGUUUUGACUAAUUUGGAUUCAAUUUGUACAAUACCUUAUACAAUUUUAUUUUUCUGAAUUGAGAACAAACUCACGUUUACAACUAGUUUUUUGUGAUCAUAGAUCUAGACUUUAAGUCUCUAGCUUGAUCAAACUACAAGAGGACCUGAAGUUCCUCAAAUUCCUCAAAGAAUAAUAUAAUGAAAUUGCGAUAUGAAGAUUCUCAAAGCUCAUGCAAUCAAAGAGGGCCAUAAGUCCCUUAAAGUCAUAUAUAAUAUGACAGAACCACAUCUUGUGAUCCAAUGACGAACGCAGGAUUAAAUUUAAGUGGGGGUAAAAAAAAAAUUAAUAAAAAAAACGAAUAUUACGAAAUGAGCUAGUUCAUAUCUGUUAUCAAUACUUUUUACCUUCACAAGAAACCUUUAAUCCAUACAUCUCUCAGUAUGAAAGAAAUAAAACAAAAUUGCAUUUUUGAGCAAAACAUAACAAUUAUUAAUCAAUAGUUCAAUCUAACUCUAAUUAUAUAGAGAAAGAAAAGAAUUACAGGAUAAAAAAAGAAAAAAAAAGAUGAGACUCGGUAAAAAUCAUCAACCUGCAAAGCAAUACAUCUACAAAAUUAAAGAGUAUUUUUAUUCAUUCCCUUAUAUUUGCGGGCCAGCAAACUCAGUUUUCCACCAAGUAAAUAAACAUUACUUAUAUGAAUAAAAGAUAUUGUAUUGAUAUAGAGUAAGUUUGGGUCUUUCCAUUGGUUUCUAACGGGGGCAAUUGUGUUCAGACAGUUUUACUUUGUGAAAACUAUGGACCAAAUCUACCGAGAUCAAAAAAAUGAGUGGGGGCAGCUGCACCUACUCGCCCCCACCUGCGUCCGUCAUUGUUGUGAUCCCUAGUUAUAUGAGGGCCCGAAGUUUCUCACCUUAUUUUGAUAUUAGGGAUGUUGUGUAAUUAGAGGAGAGAAACAAUAUGAUCAUCUAUGUGAAGUUAACCAGACCAGAAGUUCUAUGUAUUUUAUUCAUUCAUGAAACCAGAAGUUUCCUAUGUCAAUUUAUUUUUUGCUCUUUACAAUUAUUUCUUUAUUUUGUUAUGUGCUUACAUUACGUUACAUAUUGUUUAAAUUUUAUUGUUAUUCAUACGGGCCAACAACCCUAUAUGUCGAAGAUAUGAAUUUUGAAUGCAUGUAAUAUUGAACCAAAAGUUUCAAUAUUGUACUAUAGAACUUGAAGUUCUAAUAGUAAAAAUUCAAACUUGAAGCUUCGAGUACAAAAUACAAAUUAGUGUGACCCAAAUGUUCACUCUACCUAAGAACUUGAAGUUCUAACCGUGCAGACUCGAGCCUUAAGUUUCGAGUAUAUAUAUUUAGACAAUUUAUCUUGAAACUUUAAUGUUGUCAACCUCAAACCUGGAGUUUUGAGGGGGAGUCAUAUUGUCAUCAAUAUAGAUAAGCGAUAUCUAACAAUUGGUCUAAAUUUAUGAUGCACAAGUACGAGUAUACUCUUUGCAAUUACGUUGCCACCUCAAUGAGAUACUCCUCUUGUAUUAAGGGGGAGAAAGAUUGUUCCUGAAGAACAAUGUAAAUUGGUGUGAGUUGUCCAUCCAUCAUCUUAUUUUGGUUUUGAGAAAUAUUUCAGCAAAUGAGUUAAUAAAAGAUCUUGACAAAAGUAUAUGCUAAACGCAUAAGCAUUUUGCUUGGGUUAAAUUGCCUAAGACCAACCAUAUUGACAUAAACAAUAUAGACCCUAUUUGAUUUGUGGGAUGCACAUGUAUCCAAGUGAUAUGGUUCUCCUGAAGAGAAUGUCAUGAUACAAUGUUAGAGUUCCUAAUACGGCUACACAUACAAAGGUUGUAUGUACGCCAUUAGAGAAUGAUAUCUUGGUUGAUAUUAAUGAAAUGAAUAUAAUGUUUUUGACCUCAUACUUGGUUUAGGUUCUCCACCAGCCAAUGAACAUCUCACUCGAAAGAAAGUGAUAGAUCUUUAGACGCAAUAUAUGUUCAUGGUCAAAAUAAGACAGUCUUCCCGCCGUUAUGGAGAGAAUAAGACUACUGUCAUUUGAAUAACGGCGUGAAUUUGAAUGAAAUGUAUCCACUGGAUCUAAAGUUUUAAGCUCCUGAAAAUGGAAGAUUAUACAGGUCCUCUAAUGGUCUACGUGAUACUACAAGUAAAAUAUCCACAUUCUCUAGAUAAUAUUUAUUCUAGAAGUGACAAUAUUUGCCCCAGAAGUGGCAUGAGUACCCAAUAUAAAAAAUAGCAUGCAUAUAAGAAUGUGUGGGAUCUAUGAAUGAUGAUCAUCUAUGACAAUUUACAAAUGGUAGCUACCAAAGACCAUUAAGGACUGUAUUAAUCGAUGCUAUGUCACGUUUCAUUAUGCAUGUCGACAAAACAUAUUAUUAGCCAAAUUAGAAAGAGACAAUUCCAAUGAAACUAAAUAUUUGAAACGUGAUGAGAUACUUUGACCUUUAACCCUAUAGAUACAAAAGGGUAUGUACCACAGUGAAAGUAAAUCACUAUGAUUUAAUGUCUACAAAAGACAUGGGAUUAUGAAUCUGCCUUUAUACGAAUGAUACUUUUCUAUAAGUACAGUGUUACAUGUAACUAUUAUAUGGACGAGAGACUUAUGACAUGUUGUCAUCGUAUAUUACGAUGGCCUUUAAAGACACAUUGAUAAACCAAAUUCCCAGAAGUGAAGUGUCAUUACCAGUGUAUCGCUGGUCAAAUCCUCAAAGGAUUCAAGUACAUGAAUGAUUCUAAUGUAAUUCGGUCCAUGAAUACUUGAGAGAGCUUGAAGCUAAUUCAUGGAAUCAAAUAGUCUAAAGUUAACUCAUAUAUACUCAUUCUGUUAUAGCUAACGUGAUCGAAAUUGUUUCAAUGAGUAUUAUGAUCAGACUACACAAUCGAAUUCGAAUAAUGAUCAUUAUGUUGCUACAUAUUCUAACUCUUGGGAAGUUAUGAAUUACUCAGAGCUCUUGUAGAGUUUAUAUGAGACGUAUCAUACACGGAGAUAUUGAUGUGUAUGGCUGGAUACGCCAUGAUGAUGUUUCAAUGCUUUAAUGUCAAUUAGCUUAUGUUGAUUAACUAUUACUUAGUGUAUGAAUUAGGUCAUACGACUUAAUGAGGUAAGACCUAUUUAUAAUCGUCUAGCUCUAGCUGUUGUUAUUACUUUAACUUUGCAGGUUUGAAAUUUCAUGAUGAGCCCCUAUAUGCAAAGCACGCAUGCAUGGUCUCACUUUAAUGAUGGACAAAUCAAACCGUUAUUUACGGCACAUGAAGUUUGCAACGUUCAGGGGGAGAUUCUCAUCAGGGGGACCAUCCAAAAGUAUGCUACCUAAGACAUAUGCGCGUUGUACUCUUUUUCUCUUUUGACCAGGGUUAUUUUUCUCCCACUGAGUUUUUCUUACCUAACAAGGUUUUUAACGAGACAACAUUAUGCGCUUCUAAUUUCAUCAUUCAUUGGUGGACAUCCAAGGGGGAGUGUUAUAAAUAUUAUAAUCUAUGUGGUUGUCUACAUAAUUACUCAUUAGUUAUGUACUCUGAUGUAAACUCCACCUCUAUAUAAAGAGGUUAAUGAGAAUGAAUGAGUAGACUUAUGCCUCCUCCCAACUAUUCUCUCUGUGUCUUCUCUUCUUUUCUUUACUUUACAAUAAUCUAGAUUAUGUUCUAAUUUUAGACUAUGUUCUAAUUUACAUCCAAUUUUUAAGUGACAUUUUAAAUAAAAUCCACUAAAUAUAUCUUUUCGAUAGACACCUAAAAUAAUGUGUCAAUUAUAUAUAUAUAUAUAUAGGGAGGAUCGUAAAGGGGAGGUUCUUACUUUAAGAAUUUGAGGAUUUCUACUAUUUUACAUUAGUCGAUGUGACUUCUUUUAACGAUCUCAACCGUUGAUCCUCUAGAUUCAUAUGCAAGAAACAUGUAUACAAAAUUUCAAAUAAUUUCAUAAUCAUUUGGU